rnacentral:lncRNA from 1 species
UUUUCCGAAAACUUUAAACUAAAAAGGAAUGAGAACAGAUAAUUAAAGCUGAUAAUCUAUGUUAGUAACUUAUUAAAUUGCUGGAUUUUCGAAUUAACUUAUAAUGAUGGUGUCAUAACGUGCAUGUGGAUGGUUGAAUGUUGAAAGAUAUAUGGCUUUAUGGUUUACUUCCAGGGAACAGCACAUAGUAUAUUUGCGUUAAUUAAUUAUUUACUGUUAUAGUUUGCUUAUUUAAUCUUUCAUUAGUAUCAAAUUAGUUCGUGGAAACCAAUGAUGUGGUCCCUAAUUGCUCCUUGUUUAACGAUCCCGUGAUGUAGUCGAAACUCAAAGCCCUAGCAGCCUAGCUAGUCGCAACUUGUGUACACACUAAUUUUUCUUAAAUCACCAUUAACCAUCCGGUUCCUCUAGCAUCUGUUGGAAGUGAGAAGGGAGCAGUGGGGGAGCUAAAAUUUUAGUUUAUAGGGGUCAUAUAUAAUUAAUUAAUUUUUAUUUAAUUAUAUAUUAAUAUUAAAUCAUUUAUUUUAAACUAAAUAAAAUAUCUUUAAGAACAAUUUUGGAAAAAAAACUAAAGAAAAAAAAUAGAAUAUGUCUAAAAAAUUAAUAUGUACCACGAUUUUAGAGAUUUGUAGCCAUAUAUUAGAUAAAAACAUAAAAUAAAAAAUGGAAAAUGAAUUAAUGCUAAAAAAAAUUAACAUGUGAGGGGUCAAAUUAAGAAAAUUGAUUGAUGGCAUGGGGGUCAUUAUGGAAAAAUUAAACUAAAAUAUCCAUAAAUUAUUGUAAGAAUUACCUUAAAAACCAAAAAUCAUAAAUGUUAUGGGGGUCAAUUGACCCCCCUCCCUCUUCACUACCUCCGCCACUGGAAGGGAGCAAGUUUUCUGGUAAAUAAUUGUUUCGCAGGCCAAUUAUUGGACAAUUUAUCGAACCAUCCAAAACUGAAUACAAGUUAAAUUUCAAAUUUAUGAGAACAUCAGCAGUCGCACAAUCAGGUGGGUGUGAAUCUUGGGGUGUAGGUAUUAAAAAAACGAAAAAAUUGUCUCUCUCUUCACAUCCGGGUGUAACACUUUUUCUCUCUAUCUCUCUCUUUCUUUCUCUUUCUCUUUUCUCUUUUGCUUUAAAUUAUAAUACUAAAAAAAUACUUACACUCACACAAACACAUUUGCCACUACUGAUGGUCUGAUGGUCCCAAGAGAGACGUUGGCCAACUCAUCAAAAUUUUGUUUAUGUGUAUGUGUAUGUGUACAAACUACGAUGCUCCACGCUAAUUCGAGAGAACAAGCACUAUUUAUACCUAGAAGAUGUAACAAUCUCAUAAUAUUUAUCAUGUUUCUCCAAUAUAUUUAACUCUCAUCAUGUCUCGCAUUCAUUUGCAAGAUUAACUAAUCACUACAAAAUUUAUCAUUCAUUAUAGCAAGUAGCAUGGAAAGACUUGAAAUAAAUCCUCAUUACCACUCCAUAUAUGCGAAUAAAUACAAGUACACCGUAGACCGUACGUAAGCAUUUGAAAACCACGCAUAAUCUAUAAAUGCAUGUAGUGUAACGUGAAGGCAGGAGCGUGUCUGAUGAAGAGGUUAGAAUUGUAUGAUUAAUUUAAAAGGAUAGUAAUAAAGAUUAUACUAUAAGAAUAAAAGUGGAGACGACUGAAAAUUGAUUGAGUAGCGAAAUUUUUUAAAAAAAACACAUUAGAAAGUUGGCUUCUCUUUGACAGUCGAAAAGGGCUUUGUAGAGUGUGUUUUAAAUCUCUAUUUCUCAUCUUUUUAUGUCUAGGAUCUAAUAUAUAUAUAGUGACAUAAAUCAUGAAGUUUUCUUCUUUUCUCUCGAUACACAUACAUAUAUGUCUAUAUGUGUGAUAUAUUUAACAAUAAAUUUUGAUAAUCGGCCAUAUAAAAUGGUAUUUUGUUAAACUUUUCAUUAAUAUAACAAUGAUUCCAGCACCAAGAUUGUGAUUACACAUUUAGGCUUUUACCUUGCAAAAACUAUUGAAUGGAAUCAGCCAAUCACUUGUCUUAUUUACUGUUUUUUUGGUUUUAAAUACUUUCUUAAAAGAUUAAUAUCCAUUUCAUUAUUGAUUCGUCAAGAUCAUCUUUUGUAUUCAACUAUAUAGUUUAAGUGCAUAGAUGUUUUUCGGCCAUACAAAUUUGGCAGGCUAAAGUUAGAAAUGUAAGCUGUUUCCAUUUAACCUUUCAGACUUUUGAUUUUUAGUAGGAAUAAAUUACGGAUUUUGUCCUUUUUCAUAAGGGCAUUUGUGGAUUUUGCUCUUUUUUGAAUAGUUUAUGCAUUUUGCCCUUUUUCAUGCUCCAAAAAUAUGAUUUAACAUGCGUUUCACUCGUUAUGUUUGGGUUUAGUCGGUUCCAUUUGUUCUUAGGGUUUAGUAUUUUGGUAUAAAAUACGUAUUUUUGGAAAAAAAAAUCCUAAAUACGUACAUUUUUAAGUGUUAAAAAAGGGCAAAAUCCGUAAACUAUUCAAAAAAAGAACAUUUUCGUAAGUUUUUUUCCAAAAAAGGGUAUUUUAAACAAUAAUCCCUUAGUAGUAGUGACAGGGGCGGACCCACCAAGGAGGAAGGUGGGUCACUUGACCCAGGUUAAAUAAUCAAAUACCAUUUUUAGUGCAUGAAAUUUCAUUAAAUACCAACAGCACAAAUGGUAGUUUCCCAGGUAUUGACACCCCCAUUACUGUGUUCGAACCUCCAACAUGACACUUUUACUUCUUUAUUUUCCAUUUAGCCUCAAAUACAUGUUUUUUUUUUGUUUUACAUUUAUUUUUUUCUCUUAAAAAAUCACAGCAAUUAAUGUACCAUUUUUUAAUUGCUUAUGAAAAUGAUUUUCUUUUUGUGGGUUUGUAUAAUAUUCUAAAAAAAUUAGUUGUAUAAUAUUUUCGUAAGUUUUUUUCCAAAAAAGGGUAUUUUAAACAAUAAUCCCUUAGUAGUAGUGAUGUUCAUUUUUUCUUCCAGCUAUAUUCCAAAUUGUUUUAAUUAGAAACAUCAAAGGGAGGUAAAGAAGUGGUUUCAAUGAAUAUGUUCUUGACUAUAUUGUACGACGCGGUCGUACGGUCUUAGCACAAAGACAGUGGCAAAACGAGUGAGAGAAAUGAAAUGACAAAUUUAACAAAAAAUUCAAAAGAAUUUUUUUUUUUGAACAAAAUUCAAAUGAUAAAAGCAUAACAUCAAUUGUCUUUUGAAAUUUGGUAACGAAGGGAAGGACAAUAUUAAAGGACGGAAAGGUAAAAAACAAAAUCAAGAACAAAUAAAUAAAGUUUUGAUUUGAUUUUUAAACUUUCUCUAAAAGCAUGAUUCCCAUGCGAUGCGUCACUUCCUCAUGCAUUAUCAUCACAACAUGCCACAUCUCUGUUUCUUUCUUUUUUAAUCAUUUCAUCUAUGAUUUUUACUGAUAAUCCAUAAAAUUACAUAAGCACGAUAUAAUUCCAUAACUUACCGCGAUAUUAAUAAUUUUACCAUCGCUUCGUCAUGCAUUAUCAUUGAUACAAUUAUGCCGUGAUUUUUAAGAAUCUUACCAAUUACACAAGCUAGAAAAGUAAUCUGUAGCAUUUAUUUAUUAUUUUUUGUUAAAAAGAUUUUAGUAGUUUUUAUACAAUUUAAAUAAUCUUUAAGAUUUGUCCCGGUAGUAAUGACAUUGCUCUCAUAUUUUAAAGGGACUACAUGCAAUUAGCAUGUGCAUCAAUUUAACUCUCGAUCUAUAACUUUUUGUGUGUUGAUGGUUAAAAUUAACUACCAAAAAUGCGAUAUCGAUAAAUGUUUGAUCUUAUGGUCUAGUUACAAAAAACGAUGAUAUUAAUUUUGUAGUAAAAGUCCCAUUCUCUUUGUUUUUACAAUCUUUAAUAUAUAAAUGACUAGUUUGAACAAUUUUUAUCAUCAUUUUAACGGCAUGCACCAAUAAUAUAUCCUUGUUUUAACCUUUACCAUCCAAUAUUUUUAUGAUUUCUUUUCGAUUAGACCUAACACAUUUACCAUAUUUACCACACUUAUACCUAUCACACCACUUCUAGCAUCGUCACCAUUGAAAGCUUAAUGUCUACAUCUUAGUUCUAUCUCUUGUCGUGACAAUUAUUGAUCUCGAAAUCGAUCGGUCGUGCAUACACCAAAAUUAUCUAGAAGUACUGUUUACUUUAUCCUUAUCUCUUAAACUUUAUUGAGAGGUAACUAUAAAAAGAGCCCACUAAUUAAAACUAGGGCAAAAAUAUCUCUUGCGAUUGAUAGAAGCCUUGACAAAUUGAGUUUCCUGUCUUCUCUCCUUACUCCUUUUAUAAGACAAAAAGAUUUCCUCUAGGGUACAAAGCAUGUAUUUUCAAAUAGUGUUAUUGGUCUUUGUGUCUUUUUAUCUAUCCAAAUGUUUCAUUCAUUUGGUGAGUAAAAUAGUUUAUCAAGGGAUCAAAUGUUGGGAUUAAAUUUUUGAGCAUUAUUUUCCAGCUUUCACCACAUGCUUUUGUAUACGCAUAUAUAAUUAAUAUGAGACUUUUCUUCCAUUCAUUUAUUACCAUUAAAAGUUGAAACCAUACAAGCUCUCAAUUACCAGUUUUCUAAGGGAAUAUGUCCACCAGUGGAUCCCUCAAUUUACAUCUGCAUAUGAAUAUAUGCUACUAAAGAGUUUGAGUUUUUAUGUCAAUUAAUUGGUUGUUGAGCUAGAUUCUCUAUAUUUCUAUAUUGAUUAAUAUAUUUUUGAAGUCUAUUUUAUCCCUUAAAAAAUAAAAGAUGUAUGUGGAAUUAAUACUGAUUUAGGUUUAGUACGUAUAAAUCUAUAUAACAUAAUUAUUUUUAGGUUGAAAAUUUGGUAAAACAAUAAAUAUCUUGGAAUUCCUACCCCCCAAAAAAAAAAUAUUAAUGGUGGAAUGGUGUUAAGUUUCGUUAAUUAAAAUGUGUAUCUUUUAUGUCGAAAUUUAAGAUUUAUGGAAUCACGUUAGUAAAUAUCAUUCAAAUAAUGUUUCACCAAAACAAUCGAAUAUCUUAGAAGAAAAAAACUGAACUCGUUACUAUCGUUUAUUCGCAUGAUAUUUGAGCACAUAAUUGACUAUUAUGUAAUCGGCAUGCUAAAAAAUUAAUUUAGAUGAUUAGUUUCGGACAUAGUUACCAGAAAACUAAUUAGUUCCCAAGGAGUUCCUCUAAAUUUUCAAGACAGCACAGUCCACACAAUGGUCUAUGUAAGUGACAAAAAUAAUUUAUUCUCCCGCUAAUUGAUUCCAUUGUUUCAUUUGAGUUUUAGUUUUCUUGGCUUCAAGUGUUAUAUAUCAAACUUGAUACUUUCUAUAUAUGGGGAAAGAUCACAUUUACAAUAUUAUAGCAAGACCGAAUGAUUUAGAAGAAACUUUAAGACAUACCAAAGUUAUAACACAAAGAACUAAAUGUAAAAAAAUGAAUGGUAUGGACUCAAAUCACAUGCUACUACAAUAUCAAAAAUGAGUAUGUCGGUUUGCCUUUUCAAUGUUUCAUUUCAAUCAAAUAUUAGAAUAGUUGAUGAUAUUUACCUUAAAUGUUUUUUUUUAUAUAUCAUCACACUGAUUACUAUCACGAAUUGUAGACUUAGGCUUAGGUUUAAAAAUAAAUGGAAUGAUGAAAAGCACGGGUGAUUAGCAAUUUUUGAAAGGAUAAACACUCAUAUGUAUCCAAAAAAGAUUUGACAAGAUGGGUCGAAAAAAAGAUAUCACACUUAAAACUCUAAAGACAUAUUUACCAAAAGAAAAUCAGUUUAGGUGUUAAACGUUGGCCCUCUUCGGCGACAAUGACCGGUGGCAAAAAGAAAGCCUUAUAUUUCCUUCACCUUUCCAUGCAUCUCUCCCUCAUCUCUUUAUAUGUUCUCUCGCGUAAAUUUAAGUUUUUUUUUAACUAUACCCACUUUAAUUUACUGUAAUCAUUUAUUGAAUAUGUUGGGAAAAAAUUGACUGUUUAGGCGUCAAUUACUUGUUUCAAGUGAAUUUUUUAAAAUUAAUUUGUUAAGGAAUAAAACAUCAAUUUUUAAAUAAAUAAAUUUAUUUUUAUUGGAGAAUGGAGACGACAAUCUUACCAGUUAAAAUGAUGUAUGUGAUAACAUUUGUAAAUAGAUAACAGUCAAAACCUCAAUAGAUGGAAUAAGAUUCCAUUAUUUUUAUUUAACAAAACACUAGCUUAUGGCUCUUAAUUAGUUAUAUACUCAAUAUAUAUAGGUAUACGCACAACUAUAUAUUAUUUUAUGUUAAAUUUCAUUUCUUUUCUAUUAAAUUUGAUUGAUUUUCUGUUAAUUACCAACUACUAUAUAUAUAUAUAUGAUCGGACCCCUACGAUAUAAGCAUUUUUGUUAGAAAUUUCAAAUAGGAUGGAUAUUAUAUCUUCAAUUGGUUUUCAAUUUUAAGUAUAUAAAGCUUAACAUAAUAUUAAAACCUAAAUACACCCCGGUCUAAUUCAAGUAGAAAUUGAUCCAACCCGAAAUUGAAGAGUUAAAUGAACCAUCAUUUCUUCAGAAAGCUUGAUAGAAAUUCCACAUCUAAAAUGAGAUCAAAAUUAACUUUUUUAAAAAAAUAAAGGAAAAUUUUACUAAACAACUCAUAUGGUGAGUGAUCGGGAAGAUCAAAAACAGCGUCGGAAAAGUUAACAAAAUUACCGGAAAAAAUUACAGAGAUAAAAGUUAACUUAUAAGAUAACAAACAAAAACUGGUUUAUUCACUAUCAAUUAGUUUCGAGAACAAAACAUGACAUUUCUUAUGGUAUAAAUUAUGACAGUACUUUCAGUUAAUGUUUGGUUACAAUGAGAGAAGAAAAAUAUAUUAAUAAUUAAAAUUAAUGCAUUGUUUAUAUAUAUAUAUAUGUAUUUUGGUGGUAAAGUAAAUGAAAACUUCGAAUUUUUUUAAAGAUGUUUUACGGUUUAAGACUUAAGUCGAAAAUUAAUGCAUGGUUCAAGCUUGAAGGCCCCAAAAGUGGAGCUAUGGUAAUGAUUUAGAAAAAUCGAAGCAUUUCUUUUCUUUUAGACAGGGUGAUGUUUUGUUUAAGAAGGUAGGGUCAUGGUCCUCAUGGACUCAUAUCGUUAAGUGAAUGACUAAGAAUCGAGGGAACCAUAUAACAAAACAAGUUGUUAUUUAAUUAGUCUCCCUAAUGAAUAAAUAAAUACAAGGUGCAUCGAAAUGUCUUGAGACCAUGAAGCUAAGAUCCAAUGAAAAAAAGAGAUUAAAUUAAUAAGUCUCAAGUCGUAAGAACUUUUAAGCCCAUCGGUUCAUGUCUCCAAUUACACUAACCGGUGGGUCCAUUUACUUAUCGAACACUCGCUUGACCACAAAUACUCUUUAUAUCAUUUUCAUUGAAAAACAUUAUAUAUCUUAUAUAUAUAUAUUUAUUUCAUGCCAAUGUCACAUUAAAACACUAAUAUAGUAAUAUCAUGUCGUUCACUUCAAUUUACAUGGGUUUGUUUUCACUUAUACAUUAGAAUAGUUAUAUUUCGCCUAAGUCUAUAGACAUAUAGCUGUAUAAUUUUUAUUCCCCACAGAUACAUGGUUAUUCACGUGAUGUGUUAUAUAUAUAUAAUUACAUUACUUUAGAAUAUUAUAUAUAUAUAAUUACAUUACUUUUAGAAUAUUAUUUUUAGUUUUAAAAAAUAUAUUAUUUUUAGUUUUUAUUAUAUUUUAAAUGUUGAUCUUUUUAAUGAUGAUGAAUAAAUCUAACCCACUGCUACAUUUUAAAACAUAACAAACAGUUCUACGAACGACUCCAUAAAACACAAUUCUGAUUUUACUUCUUUCUUUUUUUUCUGUGCACCUACUCAAUUUUACUUCUAUCCGAAUUAUAUUCAGGAUAAUUGUCUAAAAUGCCAUUUUUUGGAAAAUCUUACGAAAAUGUCAUUUUUUGAAUAAUUUACGGAUUUUGCCAUUUUUUAACACUUAAAAAUGUACGUAUUUAUGUUUUUUUUGUAAAAAUAAGUAUUUUAUACCAAAUACUAAACCCUAAGAACAAAUAUAACCGACUAAACCCAAACAUAACGAGUGAAACGCAUGUUAAAUCAUAUUUUUGAAGCAUGAAAAAGGGUAAAUCCACAAACUAUUUAAAAAAGGGCAAAAUCCAUAAAUGUCAUUGUAAAAAAGGGCAAAAUUCGUAAUUAAUUUUUAUAUUCAUGAUAAACAAUUCUAUCUUUAACACACGGAAACACGAUAAAUAGUUAUACAUGCAUCACGUAAAUAUUUCUGAUAAGUUUGCUCUAUUAAUGUAUUUGUAUUUAGUGAUUGGAGAUUAUAUAACAAAUUAACACAACGCCAUAUUCCAUGACUUUGACAGAGUUAGUCAUACCAAUAAUAAUUCUGCUGAUUCUUGUCGCAUCAUUGAAAUUUUUUUAGAUGUGUAGGGUUGAGGGUAUGGAAAAUAAUUUAGAUAUUGGUAAGGUUUUGGAUGAUGCAAUGAAGUUUUGUAGCUUUGAAAUGGUUAGUGCCCUUUAUAUUUUGCUUUUGGUUGACAAUAAUUUUGAGAGAAAACGAUAGAUUUGUUAUAAUACAAGAAAGAAGAAAACAGAGUAAAACAGAAAAGGAGAAGAUCUUUUGUUGGAGACCAAAGAAGGUGGGGAACAAACUCAAGACAUAAGUGGAAAACGUAGAGUUGUAUAGAUGUAGGCAUAAUAGCUACACUUAUAGGGUGCAUUAAUAUGUUUGCACCAAAACACUAUAUUAAAAUACUAAAUGGGAGGGAGGUUAGGAAUAUAGUAAGGAUAGUAAACGCAUAUAUUCGACCCUAAUCUGGAAAAUUCGAAUUGAAUAAUCUUAAAAGUUUUACAGCAUUGGAAAGAUGGUUUCGACCAUGAAAAUUAUAAAGUAGAGAGGGAUAAAUAGCCGGCAAGCAAAUCGGAUCAAAUCACAUUUGACUAUAAUUUAGUACAUCAAUGUUGGACUAGGCAUAGUUGAUAGUUCUAGCUAGUUUUUUAAAGUUAAAUUAUAUGCGCAAACGUCAUGCACAAGUCGGUUUUGGUAGAAUUUUCGAGUGUUGAUUCUUUGACAAUGAGAUUAAUUUUGUUUCAAAGAGCGUUUGACUUCGUAGGUGAUAAAAAGAUGAUUAUGUUUUUGACAAUUUAGACCAUGACAAACAAAUCUUUCAAUAACUCAAAAGUCGAUGACCGUUUGAUUUUUAAUGUAUCAAAACUCGACUGGACUUGUUAAAGCCAGGUCGGAUCAAUACGUAACCCAUUAUUAUAUCUCUAAUCAUACCACUAAUUAGCAAACACAAAAAUUCAACGUUUGGCAUCGUGCAUUGUUAGAAGAGUUUCAGAUUGAUGUCACGUCUAUUUGAUUCGUAUCUCUUUAAAAGGGAUAUAUGAGGCUUUUGUAAGGUAGAAAUUAAUGAGGUCCAUGAAGACAAUAAAAUCGCAUAAUUAUUUGAAAAGGUGAUUUUCAUGACUUUUGAAUUUUGAUAUAUAUUUGGGAGGAUAAUAAAAUCGCAUAACUUGGUUAUUUUUUCAUAGUUUUGGGAGGAUAAUAAUUUCCAAUAGUGCACUUGGUUAUAUUUACAUAUUUUUGGGAGGAUAAAUUUCCAAUGGUGCACUUGAAUAAUUAGUAGACACCGUACCUAGCAAAUUGAAAAUGAGGUAAUAAUUAGAUUCAUUCAAUACAACUUAUAAAUUUUGAAGAAAAACUUUGGUAAUGGAAAAGCUUUAAGCUUUAAAGGGUUUAUGUUUGUGGACCAAUUAAUGUCUUGGCAAUGAACUGUUUGGCUGUCUACUUAGUGCGAUCAAGAAGACAAAGAAGAAGACGAAGAAGAAGAAGAAAAUGGUGAGUAAUGAUAAGAUAUAGAAAAUUGUUUUUUUUUAAUAAAAAUGAAUACAUUUUCUAAAUUGGGUUAUCCUAAAGAUAAAUUGUUUACUCUUUUUGUUGACUCGCGGUGUGUGUAUUUUUUGGUCAUCGAUGCAUGAUUCCUUUAAUUGGUAUCAAUAAUAUAUUUUUAUAUGGUUUAUGUAUGAGCUUUGUUUGAAAAAUCGCUAGGCGCUAGUCGGGCGUUCGGCAUGGGCCUAGCGAUUAAUCGGAAAAUCGGAUUAAAAUCGGGGAUUAAUCGGGGAUUAGUUUUAGGGUUAUUUUAAUAUUUUUAAAAUAUAUUAAUUCAAUAUUGUUUUCAAAAUUACAGUAAAAACAAAUUUUUAUGAUUUUUAUUAAAAUUUGAACACAAGUUAUGUAAAACAUCACAAACUCCCAAUUCAAAUGAUUGAAUAACAAAAAUAAAAUGUUUUUUUAUACUUGUAAUCUAAAAAAUAAUCGGGGUAUGUAAGAUUAGGCGGGAAAUAAUCGGAUUAGGCGGAAAAUAAUCGGAUUAGACGGAAAAUAAUCGGGUUACUGAUUUUUUAGGGGAUUAGUCAUUAAUCGAGGCGGAGAGGGUGGGCCUAGCGAUUAAGCGGGGAGUAAUCGGGGCUAGGCGGGGAUUUUUAGAACAGAGUGUAUGAGUGGGUGUGAAAGAUAAUGAGACUUCUUUUUCCUUUCUUUUUUUUUUUGUUAUCCCACUUUCUUCAAUUGUUCCCCAUGAAAAGGUUCGUGUCUCACCAUUUCAUUAUCCUUUUGUGUGAGCCUGUUUAACAAUUUUCUACGACGAAUUCGAUAUUCCAAACCAGAAAUUCAGACAAAUUAUUAAUGUUUUAAAAUAUGGUCUAUGCAAACAGUAUAUACAAUAUAUAUGCAUACACAUAUAUGUUAUAUAAGUUAACUGUUUUUUUAUGGCAAAAUGGAUGUGUAUAUGGUGUUUAAUUAAGCAUUGUGUAUACAAUAUAUUUAUCCACCGCACAUAUGGUUGUCUCUAAAACGAUGAUCAUGUUUGUUUACAUUUUAAUGUCCUAAAGAAACAUCAUUUUGUUCUUCUUUAAAAUUAUGUGACUUUUUUUUAACGUCUAGUAGUUUUAUUGAUAAUACAAAACUGGUGUUACACAAAACCGGCGAGUUCAGAGGACUCCAAGAAUCAAAAGCCAACAAAAAAAAUGAUAUUUUCCUAGAACCACAAGCCGGGAAAACAAAGAUAAAUUUCCGAAAACUAAAAAAAAAAAUUGAAACGUGCAUGAAGCUAGAAUAAUCAUAGAAAACAUAUCAAAAAUUUAAAACCAAGAAUCUCCAGAUAAAUGAAGCAAUCACGGUUUACUUUACAUCGCAUAUAUAGUUUAUGAUUAUAUCUUUGUACUUGUUGAAGAGGUAAGAAACACAAUAAUACUUAUGUCAAUAAAAGGUUUUUCUUUUUCUUUCUUUGGAUUUGUGGAUUGUGCCACUCACUUACAAACUGAUAUUUGGAAUUAUAAGUGAUGGUUGGAAAUCAAACUUACUGACACACUUGUUAGUGGCCACAUUAAUUGGACAAUAUAUGAUUCAUUCCUUUUGUUCAACAUAUUUUUAUUCAAUACAUUUUUCUAUUUUUCUUUUGAACAUUAAUUGGAUAUUUGGGUUAAUAUGAAUAGGUAUUGCAUAAAACAUGAUUUACUUAUUCUAAAGUGUAACAUCGAUAGCUUUUUAUUCCAGGCCGAUAGGAGAUUGUGGACCGAAAGCCCAAAACUGUUUUGUUUUUUCUUUUUUUGGUCACAAUUCAAGUAUUUUUCAACAACUAUUUUUUCGUGUUUUUUGAUACUUAAUUUAAUUCGAAAACGAUUAAAAAAAGAAAAGAAAAAUGAAGUCAAAAGAAAUUUCAUACAGUAGAAUCUCUAUAAAUUAAUAAUCGAUAAAUUAAUAAACACUAUAAAAUAAUAAUUUAUUCGGUCCCAAGUCGGACCAGUGUAAAAAUUGGCGAAAUUUGAUAAAAUAAUAAGUAAUAAUUUUUUUUGGAAUCUCUAUAUAAAUAUAUGGUCCCUUUAAUAUCCUAAAUUAAUAAUCAUAUAAAUUUACAUAUUAUAUAUAUAUAUAUAUAAAUAAUAUAUUUUUAGUGUUUGUUUUCUUAUUAUGUUAUGUUUCAAAACUAUCUUAUUGUUGUAUCGCCUGUAAAUUUUUCAUAAAAAUAGCUAAAAUUUUUCGCAAGGUUUUUUAUUUAUUUUGCAUAUGCAGAAUUUUAUGUAAAUUAUUUUGUAUGUGAAUUCAUCUAUAAUCUUUGUUAUCUAUUGUCAAAAAGACUUGUUUUUCUUCUGAAUAUUAAAUAUUCAAAUCUAAAACUAUUAAUUUAUAACAUUCAAAACAUUAUUUUUAUUUAGAUCAAAUUUGUUUAACUCAUAUUUUUGUAAAAAAAACCUUUUAAAAGUUAAAACAAACUUUUUAUAAAUUAAUAAAUAUUAAUUUACACUAUAAUUUAAUAAACAUUAAUUUAUAGAUAAAUUUAUAUCACUAUAAAUUAACAAAAUAUCAUGAUCGGUUUUACUGUAGUUCCCUGAGAGAAUAUCAGAGAACAUAUUUGUGUGUGUCAGUCUCAGUGUCUGACGCUCAUAUAUGGAGUAGUAAAGAGAGAAAUAAUUGAAACUAUUCCGACACCUUUUUCAGAUUGCAACACUACAAAAAUCCCAUUCAAGUAAAAAAAAAAACUUAAAUGUAACAGAUAAUAUUCUAACACACUUUGAAAAUUUUCUGUCUGACAGAUUUUUCAAUAUGUCCCACUCUGUUGUUUUUUCUUUCUGAAAUUUCUUGCAAUCAUACAAUAACCUUAGAAGAAAUCAACAGGGAGAGUUUGGUUAUAAUCAGUUCCCCAUUCUAUUACGUUUUCUACCAUUUCCUAGCUACUAUAGAACAGUGGUGAGAUUGAGAUUUGAUUGGCACUAAUACUAACCAUUGUGGGAUCACUCAAAAACAGAGACUUGUCCAUUCCAGCUACAAGCUGCGACCACGUUAGGCAAAACUGGGUGGUAUGACACAUCAACGCAGGGCUGUUCAUAAGCUUUGAGCUUCUUAAUGAGCUCAGUGGAUUUGUAGCUGUACAUGUAUAUGGAACCGUCAGAUGAGCCAGAGAUUAAGGUUUCUCCGUCCGGGCUGAAGUUGCAUUUGAUUGGGAAACCUGCAACCCAGUGACCUUCGAAUCUCUUGUAUUUGUUCAGCUUGAAAGGUGGGUUUGUUGAGAAGAUUGCAGCGUAGUUCCCAUGUGAUUGGGCGAUGAAGACUGGGUCUUGCGGGUGACGUUUGAUGCAGGGGCAUGUGUAUGCUUCUACAUAGACCUGAGAGCAACAGGGAAAACAACAAGGAAAAUGUCAUUAGUUACGAUGUCGUUAUGAUAGUCUUAUCUCUAAGAAUUGAGAGUCUAAAAUCACUGUUUAAUCAUAUCCUUAUAGAGCAAUGAACGUUUUAGAGUGAGUGUAAGCUAAGCGUUGUUUCAAAGUGAAAGAAACAAAACGAACAAUGUGAGGGAAUGUAUAGAAAAAGUUAGUGAAACCUUCUGCAAGUUAAUAAUCAUACUGAAAUAAAUCACAUUUGAAAAGGUCAGACAAAUGUAAAAUGGACUUUUUAAAAAAUGUCGCUAAGAUAGUUCCUGCUAGGCCUAGCUUGGUCAGGAAGUUAGUGAUAAUGAGAACAAUUCUACGACUUCGUGGUGCAUAAAACAAGAGAGCAUACAACAAAUUCCUAUAGAGAGGAACAAAAGAAGUUUCUUUGCUUCUCUAUGAUUCAGCUAUUAGAGACAUUAAGCAUCUAACUUCAAAAAAUCGAAAGGAAAAUUGCAACACUUCCUUCGCACAUUCAUACAUAAGCAUGUUCUGCUUGUGUCUAUAGAUGCAGCUUAUUUUUAAUUCCAAUAUCUAAGCUUAACUCUGUUAGCUAAUUCUGAUUUACUAAUGACAUACUGAUACUUUUCAUCAAGCAAUUUUAUACAGAAUUAGAAGAAAAUUCAGCAAUGAUAUAACUGAAAGAAGGUUACCUGAUUAGAUAGAGGAACCUCUCUCGAAAUAUCCCAAAUCAUAACCGCAUUCUCACUUAUAUUUCUGCCAGACACAUCACUUGAAGAGAUAAACCGCUUCCCACCCGCGAUAAACUCAACAUCAAGAAUUGGCCCAAGAUCUCGGAUGUAUUCAUGCACGAUUUUGUUGGCCCUAAUGUCCCAUAAUCUAAGACUUCCCUUUGAUCCUCCAGAAAGAAACACGCUACAAUGAUCUGGAUUGAACUUAACAACUCCAAUAACCUGAUCCUCUUUGAAAGACUGUAUCUCUACCCCUCUUUCAACAUCAAAUAGUCUCGACAUGCAGUCAUAUCCACAAGAAAGCAACGAUAACCCUUGCUUUGACCACUUCACAUCUUUAACCGGUGCAUUAUGAUGGAGAAAAGCCCGUACUUUCUUCUUAUCAUUGCUCCACACAUUCCACACGUAAGCGACACUAUCAAGCCCCGCAGAAGCAAGAAGAUGAACUGCACAAUAACUCUAAUAAACAAAUGAAUGAGGCAGAGGAUAACAUCAAGCCAAUCGUCACCAAGGUGAAUUCAAAAGCCACAACAAAAGGCAAGAACAUACCAUGACUUGUAGACCAAUCAAUAGCAGUAACAGCCUUUGUAUGGCCGGUUAACGAAAUCGACAUUCUACUAGGCAUUUCGGUUCGCAACGAGGAUCCUUUUGGUCGAUGUGUAACCGAAGAUAGAACAUGGCGAGGCACAUCAGAAUCUGAGAUGCUCCCAAGAACUGAGAUUAAGAAAGCUUCAUACAAAUUAGUAUAAAGCAACCACAAAGCUAGUGACGCAGACUAACAAACAUUAAGCAAUCACUCAAACUAAAGAAGAACACUUAACGAAGAUUUAUCUUUAAUUUAAGCAAUAACUAACACCAACACUAAAUUCUAAACCACGAAUUGAUUAAGCAUAAUCGCAAAUACCAGUAGGAGAGCUAGAAGGUUUCUGAUUCAAAUCGGAACUUUGAUCUUGAGUCGGAAUCGUUGAAACGGAGGCAAGAAGUGAUCUCUCUCUCUUAGAUACGUACCGGCCUGGAACCGGAACCGGAACCGGCACUGAAACCGAAGAGCUCGUUUGAGGAUCCGAAUAGGAACCAUGAGGAGGAUACGGUCUACGCGGUGGUUUGUAUUGUCGCUCCUCCGGGACUGGAUAUGGACGCUUUGAAGGAAUAGACGGUGCGGUGGCGAUUUCAGAUGUUAAACGCUCAUUGGACACUGGUUCAGGUUCGUCGUCGGAGUCAUUGCCAUACGAAUUGCAAAUAAGAUCCAUCGGAAACUUGAAAUCGAACCACCGAAGAAGUGACCGGUGAUCGGAACAUAACUGUAAUUAGCCUUGGAUGAGAAGGAGAAGGCUGAAUAUUUGGUGGGCUUUAUUUGGGCCAGAAGAAUGCUCCAGGCCCAAUAGUAUAUAUAAUCGCUUAGUACUAACAGACUUCAGAGUCGGUCCGAAACUCCGAAUGAUGCAAAGGUCUUUAUUUUUUGUUUUGUUUUAUAUGUUCAAAUUUUUUAUUAAUUAUUUGGUUAUCGAAAAUAAUAACUCAUCAAAUAGUUAAUAGGUUAUAAGAAAUAAAAUUACUGAUUAAUAAAUGUGUAUGGGCCAUUUAUAAGUUAUUAUUUCAUUAACAGCUCUAACUCAUUAUCUUAAUCAACUCCGACAUCUAGAUAUUACUCCCUCUAUUCUUUAAAGUUGAUGUUCUAGUGUUUUGAGUUUGUUCCACAAAUAUUGAUUUUCUAGAUUUUUUUUUAGUUAAUUGAUUUUAUUAAAUCGUAGAUUUCAAGACGUAAUGAUUAACUGUUUCAGAUUACUAUGGUUCAUAGUUUAUUAAAAAUUAUUUAAUAAAAGUAAAUAAUUAAACAAUGAUUGUUUCUUAAAAAAUGUGAAUUCUUUAGAAAAUCAAGCUUCUAGGACCAGAAGGAGUACUCACUAGUAAUAUAGUAAUAUACUAAUAUGUUUGUUACCAUGACAUUCGAUCUAAUUUAACGAAAUCAAUAAAAAGAACAUGUUUGAAAUUAGAUUUUUUUAGCAAAAUAGAUAAUUUAAAAAUGAUUAUUCUAUUUGGAAGAACAUUAGUGAAAUAAAAUAAAUUAAUAUUUAUAAUAUUAUAUAUAUUCUAAAUUAAGUAACUCACCAUGAUGAUAUAAAAAAUAAUUGCUGAUAUAUAAAUGUGUAUGUGUUUAUCAGUCCGAAUGUGUUUGGUAAUUGGUACAAAUGUGUUUGUUGCCAAAAAGGAAAUGAGCUAAUUUAUUUAGUUCAAUAAAGAGAACAUAUUCGAAAUUAGAAACCGUUAGUAUAUGUAUAUAUUUAAAAAAUAAUUACUAUAUUUUUAAAGACAUUACUGAGAAAAAUCAAUUAUUAUUUAAAAUAUAUAUUAUAAAUAAAUUUGAUUACUCAAUAUCGACAAAACGUAAUUAUUGAUACAUAAACACAUGGAUUUAUCUAAUGGAAUUGUUGUUUGAGGAUCUUUACUAACGGUGUCUUUUUCAUUAUAUUAAUCUACUCCGACAUUUAGAUAUUAUACAUCAUGAUACAAAUGUGUUUGUUGCCAAAAGAAAUCAAUCUUAUUUAUUUAGUUCAAUAAAAGGAACAUGUUCGAAAUUAGAAACCGCUAGUGUUAUAUAUAAUUUAGAAAAUAAUACUAUAUUUGUAAGGAAUAUUACUAAGAUAAAAUUUUAUUUUACAUAUAUUAUAAAUAAAGUUAAUAACUCACUAUCGAUAAAACAUAAUUAUUGAUACAUAAACAUAUGGAUUUAUCUAUAUGAAUUGUUGUUUGUGGAUCUUCACUUACGUUUUUUUUCAUUUAAUUUGGUACAAAUGUGUUUGUUGCCAAAGAUAAAUCGAUCUAAUUUAAUUAGUUCGAUAAAGGGAACAUGUUCGAAAUUAGAAACCGCUAGUGUUAUAUAUAAUUUAGAAAAUAAUACUAUAUUUGUAAGGAACGUUACUAAGAUAAAAUUUUAUUUUAUAUAUAUAUUAUAAAUAAAGUUAAUAACUCACUAUCGAUAAAACAUAAUUAUUGAUACAUAAACAUAUGGAUUUAUCUAUAUGAAUUGUUGUUUGUGGAUCUUCACUAACGUUUUUUUCAUUUAAUUUGGUACAAAUGUGUUUGUUGCCAAAGAUAAAUUGAUCUAAUUUAAUUAGUUCGAUAAAGGGAACAUGUUCGAAAUUAGAAACCGUUAGUUUUAUAUAUAGUUUAAAACUAAUUACUAUAUUUUUAAGGAACGUUACUAAGAUAAAAUUAAUAAUUAUUUAAUAUAUAUAUAUAUAUAUAUAUAUAUAAUAAAAUUAAUAACUCACUAUCGACAAAACAUAAUUAUUGAUACAUAAACACAAGGAUUGGAAUUGUUGUACUAACGGUUUCUUUGUCAUUAUAUUAAUCUACUCUGACAUUUAGAUAUUAUCCAUCAUUGAUAAUUUGGUACAAAUGUGUUCGUUGCCAAAAAUAAAUUGAUCUAAUUUAAUUAUUUCAAUAAAGGGAACAUAUUCGAAACUAGAAACCGUUAAUGAUAUAUAAGUUAAAAAAUAAUUAAUAUAUUAUUAAGGAACGUUACUAAGUUAAAAUCAAUUAUUUUUUAAUAUCUUACUAUCGACAAAUCAUAAUUAUUGAUACAUAAACACAUGGAUUUAUUUAUUAGAAAUGUUGUUUGAGGAUCUUCACUAACGGUUUCUUUUUCAUUAUAUUAAUCUACUCCGACAUUAAGAUAUUACCUAUCAUUGGUAGUUUGGUGCAAAUGUGUUUGUUGCCAAAUCUAAUAAAAUUAGUUAAAUAAAGGAAACAUGUUCAAAAUUAAAACCGUUAGUAAUAUAUAUAAUUUAGUUUUAAGGAACGAUACUGAAAUAAAUUCAAUUCUUGAUUUAAAAUAUAUAUAUAUAUAUAUAUAUAUAUAUAUAUAUAUAUAUAUAUAUAUAUAUUAUACAUAAAGUUAAUAACUCACUAUCGACAAAAUAUAAUUAUUGAUAUAUAAACACAGUGGUUUAUCUAUUGGAAUUAUGCUUUGAGGAUCAUUUUUACUAGCGGUUUCUUUUUCAUUAUAUUAGUCUAUUCCGACAGAUAUUAUCCAUCUUAAGAAACAAUCUAUAAAUUAAAAGGAACAUGUUCGUUAAAAACCGUUAGUGAAAUAGAUAACUUAGAAAAUAAUUAAUAUAUAUUUGAAGAAUGUUAGUGAGAUAAAGUUAAUGAUUAUUUUAAAAUAGUAUAAAUUAUAUAAAUAAAAUUACUAUAUUUUUUUAAAAAAUAAUUGUUCAUCAAAAGUAUACGAAGUAUAAAAUAUAAUUAUAGAUAAAUUAUAUGAAUUCAUUUUUUAAAAUUGUUGUUUCAAAAUUAUUUUAAGAAUUUUUUAACUCAUUAUAUUGAUCUACUCCAACAUCUAGCUAGAUAUGAUUACUCAUCAUCAAUGAUAAUGUAUUUACUACCGAAAACCCAAUAUAAUCUAUAUAUAUAAUGAGAGAGUUUUCUCUCCAUCUAGAGUGUCCACAUAGGCGACACAUCAGCGUACACGUCAUCAUACAUUUUUAAUAGGUAUAAAAUGUUACCAAAAAGAUUCGAACCCCUUACCCAAUACAUUUAAUAGGUGCAUUUCAAACCAAAUUGCCAUUUAAAUCGUUUUGAUUGAUAUCAAAAUUUAAAUUAUAUAUAUGACUUUAUAAAACUUCCACUCAAUUUAUUUAUUAAACAAAGAAACAUUAAAAAAAAUUUCACAUACUUUUAUAUUAUCAUCUUUUAAUAAAAGAAAAUAUUUUUUCAUAAACAAUAACAUUGUUUAAUAUCAUAUAAACGGCCAUUUUCAACCCCAACUAUUUGGGGGCGGGUUUUUCCAACCCAAACUAAGACCCCCCGUCAAUUUCUACCCAAACUCAAAACUAAUUCAAAUUCAAAACCUAAACUAAUGAAAAUUAGCCGAUUUCAACACGACAGAAGACGGUGUUAGCUCGGAAUUUAACGGCUGCUGAGUCAGCGAUAUCGUGGCAUUGACGUGGCGGGAAAACGGCCAUUUUCAACACCAACUAUUUGGGGGCGGGUUUUUCCAACCCAAACUAAGAACCCCCGUCAAUUUCUACCCAAACUCAAAACUAAUUUAAAUUCAAAACCCAAGCCGCUGCUAUAUUCAUGUAAUCUUGUAGUUGGGUCGUGAGAGAAAAACUAUUUAUAUAUCGAAGGUGAUCUAUCAUUCGAUAGUCCGACUGUGUAUUACUUACCAUGUGAUGGAUCUUGGGGUUGUAUGAUUUCUAAAACAAUAUGGUAUUGUCUCCAUUUGUGUCGAGUUGAAAUUUUAAUGAAUGGCAGUGUGUUACCAUAGCUUUAGAGUUCAUGAAUUGUUAUGCGGAUUGAAAUUGUUGUGAAUUAUAGUGAUGAUGAUUCAGGUCACGAGACUAUAAACACAAUUGAUUUCAGACAAGUUUCCAGAUAGAAUGUCUGUACAAUGAUUCCACUGCAGGAAGAAAGACAAAAUCUUUAGACGGACACAAUUGCUAGACCAAACUAUUCGGGAACAAAUUUUGCUUUUUCUUGCUAUUGCUACAUUUCUUUCAGAUUCCGUUUACAGUGCCUGUGAAUUCAUAAAAUCGACGAACAUUUUUCUGUUUCGAGAGAAAAUGAAGAACCCUAAUUUUAAUUUUUCCCCAAAAUUAGAACGACGUCGUUUCGUUGUUUGAAGGGAAAAAAAAUAAAACGUCGUCGUUUUCAAAUAUAUAUAAUUUAUAUAUGAGAAGUAGAAAACAAAAAAAUAUGUUAUCACGCUAGAAAGACAUUAACCUUUUCAAGAUUUAUAAAAUAUUUAGAUUAAAAAAAGUUUAUAUGAUAGUAAACUAUAGAAUUUAGAUUACACGAAAUAAGAAUAUCUAUUUUUCAAGAAAAAAGUAUGUAUCCAAAAUCAAGAUAAAAUAUAUAUAAAAUUGUAUAAUAUAUUUAAGGAAAGAAUUGUGAUUUAAGAGUACAAUUAGAUACAAGAUUUCUUUAAACAAUAACGUUAGAGUGCAAUGUUUCAUGGAAAAUGCAAUGUAUGAGAAUAGGAAGAAUCCAAAUAUAAAAUUUAAUAUGUAGGAAAAAGAACAUUUUAUAAUAGACAAGAAAAAAUAAAAUAUAAAAAUGAAAUAGAUAAAGAGAAUAUAAUUUUAAUGUAAGUUUAUAAUGAAUCAAAAAUUUAAUCAAUUAUUUUAACGAAAAGAACGUGAAAAGAGAUAAAAUGUCGCGAGGUGGACGACUGCAUAUUAGAAUAUGACGAAUAAAAUGACAGCGAAAUAAUUUCAAGAGAAAUUGACUAAAUUCAAAAAGAUGUAUGAACAUGACAUGGUCGAGAUUGUAUUAUAUUUCUCUGAAUUUUUUCAACUAAUUUUUUACCACGUGUUACCUAAAAAUUUGUUGGUUUUUUCAAGAGAAACAUUAUUCUCAAUAAAAUCUGUUAUAUAUCAUUUCAUAAAUAGGUUUAUGUCAUUAUAGAUUUAUCUUUUAAAAUUCAAUAUAUAUAUUUAUAUUCACGACUUAUAUUAUUAAUAAUUUAUAAGUAAAAUCCCGCGCAUUGCGCGGGGUCACAAAUCUAGUUUAAAUCAAUUAGGGAGUUUUUAAACAACUAAAUAUCACUAUAUCCUAACUUAAGAGAUUAGUUUGUUAAACUCUUAAGCUAAAAAUUUGAUGUGAUAUAAUAUUGUUCAUGAAAUUACUUGUAUACGAACAUUUCAUCAUGCGUUAUUGCGUCGUUAAUCUAAGUAGCUUAUGUGGUUGGAUUAAGUGUAACUCUACUUAUUUGACUAAGAGUAACGAUAAAUUUUCUAACUUCGCUUGUAUAGAUUUGUAAUUUCUUUUCGUUUUUGUUAAAUAGAUUUAUAAUUUUAUGAAAGCCAUUCACAAUAUAAAAAGAUUCGCUACUAUAUAUAGUCAAUCAAAACGUAAAAGAUUGUAUAAAUCAAUACUUGGACUAAAUUAUUGAUUGGAAGUUGAAACAGAUUUUGGUGGUAUAUAGAACAACAUUUCCGUAACAUAAAAUCUGCAAGAAAAAAACGUCUCAAUAUUUCCAUAUACGAAAAAAAACGUGAGGAACAUUGAUCAGUUACUUAAUUUGUUGAAAAUAAAAUAAAUUUUUUUUGAAUUUUCUCCAAUACAUUCAGAUGCUAGGACCCAUGCAUAUCUAUAACUGAGUUUAUCUUGUAUAUCACACAGGUGAGUUAUAAAAGUCCCAAUAAUUACAAGGACCCAGCAGAAUAAUAAAAAAAACCAAAAAAAAAAAACAAAUUUUAAAACAAAUGGUAUCACAAGUCUCACGCGUGUAAGACUGCAUGAGCCACACGUGGGCCAAGCUAACCGGUUACCUGCUGCUCUUCAACAGAAGCACACAGAACAAACGACCGCUACGAACAUAAGUGACAACUCAUCUCCAGGUAACCGGUACAAAUGGGAACCACAGAAGAUCCACGUGGCAUAACUCUAUUAGCUACAGUCAAGUGAAACCGGUCCCCUGAUUGGUUAACGUAAUCAUAUUUCCAGUUCUGGGCCCUAGUGUACUAUGUAUCGCGUGACUCACUCACAGUGGCAUUUUUGUAAUUUUAAAUUAAUUUAAUAAAUUACCUUAAUUGUCUAUUAUUAUCUCUUAAUUAAUCACAUAUUCAUAUUUAGAAGAUAAGAUUUUGUAUCUCCAAAUAGAUUUCAAUACAUCCAAAUAAUCUUAGCUGAUAGAUUCGAAGUUGGAAAAGACGAAAUUACCCUUCCAAGAGUGAGAUUUUUUUUGGCUGCCGCAGAAUUUAACCGUUACUUUGUUUCCCGUUCAUGCAAAAGCUCUAUGACCCAGAGCUUAUGUGGCACACUGCUUUAAAGACGAAAAGAGUUUAACCAUAACUGAUAUUUCGACAAAUAUUUUAUUCUAGUCAAUUACAUACAUUAAAUCACAACAAUCAAAAUGUAAGUAAUAUUUUAUUCUUAUACUGCUAAAAUAAAUAAUCGAAUAAACAACAUUUUUAGUGACGGUUAUUUUACUCUCUAGCUAGUACUAUAGAAGGAUAUAGAAUAAUCUAGAAUAUUUUUGAAUAUAUUUCUAAUAAUUAUCUCAUUUAUGUAUUUGUGUAUAUUAGGAAACUAGGUUAAUUAGGUUUAUCCUUCUCCUCUCUAUAUAAACAUAUGUAUGUAUCAUAACCUUUAUUAUUAUGAGAGUCAAUAAACAAUUAAAUAAAAUAUUCUAGAUUAUUCUAUAUCCUUCUAUAAGUACAAAUAAAGAAAAUAAGUAAUACUGGGCACUUUGUUGUUUUGUGAUAACUCACAAAAUUUUAUUCGUAUAUUUUAUUUAUAAAAUUAGUACUCAUUAAAUUAUUUUUUAACCUUUUUAUUUUUGUUUUGUCAAAUAUGCAACAAUAGUCCACAAAUACAGCAUUUUUUCUCCCUAUUUUCUUAAAAUAUAAUUGUUCUAUUGCACUACUUAUGAUAAGAUGUAUUUAAUAAGAAGCUUUCAGCACCAACAAAUGAAAACAAAAACAAUUAAGUAAAUGAUGAAGCAUUCUGCAUUACUCCUUAAACUAUCAAUUUGUAGCAUCUAAUUUAUACUCAUUAGGUGUUGGAUUACCCUACAAUCAAAGUUAAUUAUAUACAUAGCACGUCCCUAUAUAUAUAUUAUUCAAUGCUACAAUACAAAAUCAGACUAUAUAUAAUACACAUGCUUUUGUUGUUGACAAAUAAAAACAAAAAAAUCACAUGCGUUUUCACAUUAUUAGCUAAAUACAAAUCUAUAGAAGGAUAAAAAUAUCAAUUUUAGAAAAAUACUACUUUACAUUAAUUAAUUAUUAAACAAACAUUGCUGUACCAAUUCGAAUAAAUAAAAUUCGUAUUCGUGUAAUUAAAAAGCAUUCAUACCAUAAGUGCCUUGGUGGUUAAUACACAUUUGCAUACUUACAGUUAUAAUUAUUUUCUUAAUUAGACACUUCAAUCAAUAAUUCAAGUUUUUCCACAGUAUUUAAAAAGUUUUAAAGCUAAUUUUGGUGUGUCCAACCACUCUUGUGUCAUUAUUUCUCCACAUGAUAAAAGAAAUUCUAUCAAUCGCUAUAUUAUUUCCAUUUUUUCUUAAAUUUUUUGAAACUUAUGAACUUUAAUCACUUAACAAUAUCUAUUAUAUUUUUAACAAAAAGAAAAAACAAUACUAUCUAUUAUAUAUGGCCCCAUUCACUCACCAACCAAGGGCAAAUACGUCAUUUCAGCUUAUCCUUCUUCCCCAUUUAAGAUCCUCCCUCUCCACUUGAAUCAUCGCCGUAAAAAAAUAAAACUUUUAUCUCUCUCUCUCUCUCUCUAUCAGUGAAAAGCUAUGAACAAUCUCAUCUCCCGUAUGAUCCUUCUCUUCAUCACUCUCCUCCUCUCUUUUUCUCUAUCCUCGCCGUAUUAUCCAACGGUCCAUGAGGUUCUCCGAUCAAAAGGUCUCCCGGCGGGACUUUUACCGCAAGAAGUUGAUUCUUAUAUUCUUCACAACGACGGUCGUCUCGAGGUUUUCCUCGCGGCGCCGUGUUACGCUAAAUUCGAGACGAACGUGCACUUUGAAGCCGUCGUGAGAGCGAAUCUCAGCUAUGGGAGCCUCAUCGGAGUAGAAGGGCUAUCGCAGAAAGAGCUCUUCUUGUGGCUUCAGGUGAAAGAUAUCGUCGUCGAGAAUCCAAAUUCCGGCGUCAUUGUGUUUGAUAUCGGCGUUGCUUUUAAACAGCUUUCGCUUUCUCUCUUUGAAGACCCACCCAAGUGUAACCCUGACGGUAAUUUUUGGAUUAACACAAAACGAUUUUUUGGUUUAUUAAUUUUAGUUUUAAUCUGUUUUUUUUUUUGGUUUGUUAUGAUAAAAAUAGUUAUUUGGAUUUUCUUAAUUUAAUAUUCAUAUAUAGUAUACAAUUAUAUCAUCUGAAUUUUCGUUUUUCCUAUUUUUAAUUUUGUCAGCAUAGAAAAUAUUGUUCAGAAAUUUGGCAUUCAUCAGUUAACUAAUUAGUCGGCUUUGAAGCUUAUUUGUUCUACUUUAAACUAGUUUAGUUUUGUGAAAAGUACAUUUUUGUGUUAAUAAAUACUGUUUUUUUACCCCAAAAAUUUUCAAAUAUUUAAGUCGUUCUUUACAAAGUUCUAAGUUGAAUGUUUGUUGCAAAAACUAACAAUUUCAAAAAGGAAAAAAGAAGGUGACUACGACUGACUAAUAUCAAUGUGAUAAGUUACAGAGUUAGUUCUAGUGUAUUUUUUGUUUCAAUGUCAAAUAAUAUCAGUUUUCGCUCUAUUAUUCGUUAAGAUUUUUAAUUUUUUCAGAUCGAGUGGAGAAAACUGUAUAAUUUAAUUGCAAAAUUAGUUUAUUUUUCAAAAAAAAAAAAAGAAUAUUGUUAUUGUGGCUUGUGGGGAAUAGAAGUGGUACAGUGAAGUCAUGGGCUUUGGGUUUGUGUUUUUUCUUUCUCGUUUAUGUUUCGAUGACUUUGAAAACUCUUUUGGAUUUUAUUGUCUGAUAUAUUUGCCAGUUUCAAUACGAGUCUUGUCUCUGUAACUGCUGACAUAACAUUUCCUUUCCUUCUUUUACUUUCUUGUUUUUUACUUGAAUAAGUAGUAUAUUCGAUCAGUAACUUUUACCAAAUUUUAUCAUUGAUUUUUACUUUACCAAAUAUGAAUAUUAUGUACAGUUCUCUUUUCCUAAUUCGAAUAACCCACUUCAAGAAAUGGUAAGAAUGCAUAAUUUGUUCGAAAUUACGUUGUUUCUAAGAACUUUUUUUCAUUUUGGAUCGUACAUUACUCAUCAAAGCAAAGAUUUAAUUAUUGGAUUUAUGUUUCAGGUGUUUUGAAGAAAAAGAUGAGAAGAGAUAGAGGAUUUGAAGCUCAAAUAUGAGAAGUAGAGAGAAAGACCUAGAGGAGCCCGAUUGUCCAUUUGAAAAUUUCCAAAUUGUAAACUAAUCAGAAAGAUUAGUAUGCUAAUUAUAUGAGUAGAAUAGAAUUUUGUUUGAGAGUUCUUGUAGAAAUGAGACUCCCCAUGUUCUAUUCUAUGUUUUGUGUUUUAGUUUAAAAUUCUGUAUCUCAUUGUCUUUGACUAAAUGGAUGAUGUUUAAUGUUUUGUGAUAGUUACAAAGUUGCUCCAAAGCGUAAACUAAUUUAAAUUUGGUCGAUGACCUUCGGUUAAAAUAUACUUAUAGUGUCAAAGACGUCAGUGGACUUAAAAUUUAAAAGGAUUUUACAUAAGUUGAUUUGUGGAGAAUUUAAAUUUUCAUGUAAAAGAAUUUACAUAUACUAUAGGGACAUGAAUUUUUGGAAAGUUAGGUCUGAAUGAAACUGAAGUAAAUACAUUUUUCUGUAAUACUCAUUAACAUUUUUUCUGAAGUUUUGUGAUUAUACACUAAACUAACGUAGAACAAACAUUUGCAACAAACAAAGAUAAUAAUUACUUGACAAAACAAAACUAAAUAUCUCUAAAACGAUUAGUCGGCUUCAAUUCUUCUCAUUCAAGUCGUAGUUAGCUUUGAAUACUCUUUAACCAAUCCUCUCUCACGCAGAAAAGGAGAAUAAACGUGUUUCUGGCUACAGGUCAUCAUCUAUUGUGACCGAACCAUCAAACAAUUCUCGAUCUUGAUUUGUGCGGCAGCACAGUCUAAAUUUUUUUCAGAACUUCGAACCAAUUUCUCAUGAACCUCAAAUUUAGAUUUGCGACAUAAACCAGCAUGAAAUGGUAUAGUGAUAGGAAUUCAACGUUUUUUCAAUAUUUCAACGUUUCAAACAAAAUGAAGUGUGCAUGAUUUCAAACAACUUAUAAUUUGCAUCCUACACUAUUUUUUUUUUUUCAUUUUAAGUUAGUAACAUAAAAAAUCUUUUUUGGCUUCUCUACUUUGUUCCCUCUCUUUUCAUCCAUUCUCUACAAUAUACAACCAUUUUCAGCUCUUUUUCAAAAAAUGCAACAUUUGUUUGUUUUUCAAAAUCUUUGAAACUUCCGUCAAAGUCUCCUCAAACCCUGAGUAAAAAAUGUGCUUACCCUAUAAAUGAAGAAAAUGGAUCCUGAUAAGUGACAAAAGGUAAAAUCAUCAUAAACAUUGACAUUGUGCACUAGAUGUAAAAAUUGAAACCAUAUCGACUCAAAACUCCAUGGACAAAAAAAGUCCAUCUUUGUCUUGGUGUAGAGGUUUUUUAUGGGGCCUGAAAAUGUAUUAGACGCGAGACUAGGUAUGGAUUGCUUACCAAAGGUCACAUUUCACAGCUUGUUGUUCCUUGAUUCAAAUACUUUCUUUAAUGUUUUUUUUUUGCGCACAUCCCCUUAGCUCUAUGGUUAUUUGUAUUGAUUCCAACCUUUGUAAUAUUGUAUGAUCAAGACUUCACUAAUGAAUCAAAACGUUUGAAUAAUAUGGGGAUGAUUAUGAUUUCUACCAUUCUGACUAAUAAUUUACACAUAAAGAGCAAAAAUCAAAAUAAACUCACAUGCAACAUCAUAGUAGAAUAUACGAAACCAAAAAAUCUCAACUAUCUUUACUAAAAUCAGUUUCUAAAUUCAAGGGAAAAUACCACAAAACCGUAACUGAAAUUUUACGUGAUUGUAAAGAAAAUCUAUAAAUGACCCUUUAAAUUUUAUUAAUGAAAAAUUUAAAACAAAAGCUUUAGUUUAUGUAUCAUUGCCAAAAAAUAAAAGAUUUUAUGUAUCAUAAAAAAUAUCCACUGAACAAAAUCGGAAAAUUAUAUAAAUAAACCGAAUCUAGUCGAACAAACAGAUUCGUUAAUAAGAUAUACUUUUGACCUAGUAAACCUUGAUUACAUAAAGAUUAUUUCCUUAAUUACGAUAAUUAAUAAAUAUAAAAUAUCGCCCAUUUAUUGCUCACGUCAUCAUUUUACCUUCGCGGAUAAGGUAUUCUCUUUCUUUAAGAAUCUUCAUCGAAAUCACAACUAUACAUUUUCCAAAAUAUCUCCCAAUUCGUAAUUGUGAUCAAUCUUCUGCGAUUCAAGCUUCUCGAUCGAAGAAUCAUGGGAGGAGGAAGAGCUAUGGCGACGGCAGCGAAAGUUGCUGGAAUCGGAGUUGCUAAAGGAGGAUUCAGGGGAGGAUUUGGAUUUCCUCCGGCGACUGAACAUUUUAGGGUUAAAACCGCGGCGGCGGCGGCGUCUAAACCGGUUUCGGCUUCGAUUUCAUCGGCGGUUCAUCCUUCUGUUGAAGAAGAUGGUAUGAUUAUGCAGAGACCGGUUUGGGAUGAUUGGGAAUUUGCUGAAGAAGAGCCAAUUCCUAGAGUUGUUUUUAGCAAACCUCCUAGUCUUGAAGAGGCUAAAGAAGCUACUGAGGAUCUGAAAGAAGCAAUUAAUAUGUAAGAUUUGAUCCUAAUUUGUGUUUUUGUUUUUUUGAUUCUGUAAAUCUUGAAUAAUUGAGAAUUUGAGGAUAUGUGCUUGAAUUUGAUGAAUUAGGGUUAGGUUUGAAACUCUUUGAAGUAGAAGUUUGUGUUUAUGUGUAUGUUGAUGGUUGUUAAUGGAUUAGGGUGUAUAUGUCAUCUCCAAAGUCGUCUGCUGCUAUGGAAGGAUCAAAUGAUGGUGGUGCUGUUUCCAAAAUGCUCUCAGGUUUUCAAUCUUCUGAGAACAGAGCUGUUGAAUCAGCUGUUCCACAAGUUGCUCUUCAAGCAUUUGCUUUUCUGAGUGAAAACACCGCCGCGCAGGUAUAUUGGUUUCCGAGCUUUCCUCGGUUAAAAUGGUCUCUGCUCUUGUUUGGUAUAUGUCUCAGAUUGCUUCGUAUAUAACCCUUUUGAUUUAACAGAGCUUUGUUAACUCUUUCACAUGUUUGCUUAUUACAGACUGUUGUUGCUUCCAUUGCGUGUGACCCAAAAGUAUGGGAUGCUGUUAUGGAGAAUAAGGAUCUCAUGAAAUUUCUCCAGACCAACAAUACUGGUAACUAAAACUUCGCCAUUACUAGUGAAUCAUUUGGUAUAUGUCUUGAUGAUAAAGCAACUUAACAGAAACUUUGUCUAUUUUUCAGCUGCUUCCUCUCAAGUUGAAUCUGACAAUGACGACCAAUCUGAACAUUCGAGCACGACGGAGUGUGAAGUCAUGGAAACUAAGCCAAUGGAACUCUUAGAGAUUCUGCAGGACAUGAAGCUAAAAGCUGUUCGAUUGAUGGAAAAUGUCUCUUCCUACUUUGGGGACUUGUUUGGGUUAGGAUCAGUUACAGAGGAUGGAAAAGACAAGAAGCAGACAUUGUUCAACGACCCUCGUUCUCUGUUUGGAUUAGCUGUGGUUGUCAUCUUCAUGGUAGUUUUAAAACGUGCUUAAGGUCUCUUGUUCCUGAAUUCGCCGAUAUAGCGGAAAAACAACUACGUACUGUGUGAUUUCACUCCUUUGCUUUCUUAUCGUUUAAACUCUGUUUUUUGUUUAAUUGGAAUGGUUUGGAACCGUCUCUGGAUCUUUUCAUAUUAUAAAAAUAAAAAGAUCCUUUGGAUGUUUUAUCCAUUUAUUUUCUUUGGAUCUUUUCAUAUUAUAAAUGUUAAUCAGAAUCAGAUGGAACAAAACUUUUCUCUCUGUCUCUCCAUCAAAAGAUCAACACUGCAGAUAUGUUGUCUUUUCCUUUCUCGCUCGCAGAUGCCUAAGGCAAAAACACAUAGCUGGCUCGCAAUCAGGAGAUAGUUAAACCAAGUUUGGGAGUUUCCACGUAAUAAAGAGUUUGAUUAGCAUUAAAAGUAGAAUUUAGAAAAGGGAAGCUAAUGAUAUCUCAAAAAGAUCCCAACUAAUUUGGAGAAUGAAGACUUGGUGGGCAAGGCCAUUGCUCUGUAUUAUUAAUUUAGGUGGAGAAGAUGUGAACAUGUGAGGGUGUUUUGUUGCUUCUCAUUCAGAACAUCCUAAUUCAUGUAUUUGCUUCUCAGCUGCCUCUCGAGGCUUCGCAUUGGGAAACCUGCGUCCGUGAGAUCCUCUCUAAUGGCUUCUCAUCUUCCUCAGUGCAGACUCCUCCGUGUUCCAUCAUCUGCGCCGAUCCUUGUGGAGCGGGUCUCGGAAAACUCGUGAUUAUGAAUGCUAAUGAGGGUAAAUGCACUGAUUUGGAAAAGAAGGUGCCCCUGGAGUUGGUAGAUAGUGAUCCAAUGGUGACGAUAGGGGCAUCUCAUGGCUGGGUAGCUACUUUGAAGGACGACGGAGUAGUGCGUCUCCAAGAUGAUCUAAACCCGGUUGCAUCAGAUACAAACCCUAAACGCAUUCCCCUGCCUCCUCUUGUAACUUUGCCUCGCUGCCAAACCCAAAUCGUGACCAACGUGGCCAUGUCCUCAUCUUCUCCCAAGGAUGAGGACUGUGUCGUGGCUAUCAAGUUCUUGGGGCCUCAACUCAGCUUUUGUAGACCGGCACAAAGUAACUCCGAGUGGAUCAACAUCAGAAUCGCAAACCCCGGCUUCUUCUCCUCCCGUGUCAUGUAUUCCAAGAAAGAUGACAUGUUUCGUAUUCCCGGGUCUGGAGGCCACCUCAUCGGAUCAUGGGAUCCCCGCACAGAGUAUCACAAUCCCAAGAUUCAGAGGCUGCGAUUCCGAAACCUUCCCGAGCUUCCUAAGACCAAGAGGGAGCUUCUGGAUUCGUGCUACAGGAGUGAACACUUGGUGGAGUCAAGAACCACCGGUGAAACUUUCUUGGUAAAGUGGUACAAGAAGGCCACCACCAAAGAUACGGUAAAAAUGAAAACAAAAGCUGUAAUGGUGUUCAAGCUAGACGAAAAAGGAAACGCUGUUUACACUAAAGACAUUGGAGAUCUUUGCAUUUUUCUCUCAAAGUCUGAACCUUUCUGUUCUAGCAGCUCCAUGUUCCCUAACUGCGUUGAUAUAUGUGAUGUCGACGAAGCAGCAAUUGCCUCUCUGGAGUAUGACUCCAUUAUUGGUGGAACUUGUACAAACGGGGCACUUACCAUAUUCCACCUCAAAAUAUAGACUAUUAAUUUAGGAGUUAGAGUCUGAGUCUUGAGUCUGUUUUAUCUCUUAAACCUUGGAAACACCAAAUCUAUUAUAUCAGUGCUCUUUGAGAAAAAUUUCUUUACCUUUGUGAAGUAACUUGUUGAUGGGUUUUCCUUUUACGGUUCUUCAGAAUGAUUUAACGUCUCUGCUACAGUUUAUUGUUAUGUGAAUAAAACAAAAGAUAUUGAGUUCAAAAUUGAGAAACAAUUUAGAUUUCAGAUUAAACUGAAUGCAAGUCACUAUGCCCAGGAAACAGAACAGAGUUGACACCUAAAGUGACUUUAAUAUUCUUCUUACAAAUGUAUGCUUAUUUAGUUUCAUAGAAACAAAAGUAACUCAUUGGCUAUUGAUGGGGAAUAAGAGGGUAUAUCCACGCUCACCGUAGUCACUGUGUGAAAGGGACUUUCAAACAUGCCUUGCUAAAUAAGUCACAUAUACGAAUGGAAAUGCAAAGUCUUGAGAAUUUAAGAUUUUAUCUGAUUAAUGAAGACGAACUAAAUCAAGUAGAUAAUUCUCACAUUACAAUUACAAAUAGUAAGCUCACUGAACUUAAUGCUCUAUAUCGACCUUCUAUGAGCUUGAAAUCUUUUGGCUCUUGAAAAGUGAUGUGGGCUCUUUACACGACUUUCCAUACUGCCUAACCUUAACUCUUUCAGGACAUGAUACCUAACUAUACAUUUAUCAUGUGUAUUUAUUUAUUAUUUGGUAUAGAAUACUUGUUAUAUCUUCCUGUUUUGGUAUAGACUAUAUUCUUCAAGCAACUUCAACGACAUAUAUAGCGGUACCUUCAUUAAUAAGAGCGAUUACGUACUACAUUUUCAACUUGGACUAAUCAUGCUUGCCGUUUAUUGAAAGUCGCUGGAAAGUGAAUGUUUGUCUCACCAAAAUCGUCAUGCUUAACUUAAAUAGAGAACUGAUCAGCAAAUAAAUUUUAUCUUUUUAUUGAAUUUACCAUUGCAUUUCUUUCAUACAUAGUUACAUACAUGUAAAGUUGUAUUUCUUCCGUAUAUAGAUUGAUAUGGAUUGCUUCUUUAUGGGUUGAUAUGGAUUGAUCACAUUUGAACUCCAUAUAUAGUUCCUCAUAAUAUGCAUUUACAAAUAAUGCUAUUAAGUGAGCUUUGCCUUUGAUCAGUCUUUAAAAUCUCUCUCUUUCAAAUAGUUUCAUAUGGAUAGAUGGGAAAUUGGAACUUUUUAGUUUUUAGUAAUUAACUAAAAAUAAAUAAAAAUGGGAUUUCAAGAUAUUUAAAUUCCAUUGGUUUCCCCUUACCAUUUCAGUUUUGUUAUGUGGUUUAUCUCAUUGGGCUAACGGACCGAGCUCAAGUCCUUCUCAAUCCAUUUUGUGGAGUUUCUCCUUUUGAAUUUGGAUUUUAGAGAUUUUUGUUUUUUUUAAUUGCCAAAGAAAGAUAAAUUCAGAAAUUAGAUAUCUUUAUCUCUAUGACAAAUAGACCACUUUCAUGUGUUAGUCCAAUAUGAGUAUAUUGAGGCCAAUUUUGUUAGAUAUAUAGAUUGAAUAUGUUGUCUAUGUAUAUCAUUUUUUGUUAUGUAGUCCAUUUAAUAUAUAUAUAUAUAUAUAUACAUAUAUAUAUGUAUGUUCAAACCCUCUCUCAGUGGUCUAUUUGUCAUAGAUCAGGUUCAAACCCUCUCUCAGUGCAACAACGGUGGACUGACUUCCGUAUUGUUUUUCACCAUUACUUUUUUUUAGAAGCAUGAGAGUAAUUCCAAUGGGGCGAGUACAUGUUGGGCCACCUCUCCUACUUCUGAGCUGCUUAAAUCACUAGCCUACUAUGAAAAAUUUGAAAUAUCACAGCCGCUUUAAUAUGAAAAAGACAGCACAACAAUAAACUUAAUUAAAAUCAGUGGAACAAGAUUAGAGGGUAUGCAAAAGCUAAAAAUGCACAUUUACAUAUGUAAAAUGAUUACAAACCUAAAAUGCAUGUACUUUCAAUGUUCAAUCUUUUUUAUUGUUUUUUUUUCUGACAGCUAAUGGGUGCUAUUACACAGAAGGAGUAGCUGGUGAUCAUGUUGAUUUUUGUAAUAAUCUAUAUAAUAUAUUCAAGUUCAUUACCUGUACAAAGGUGGUUGAGAAAAUGGCAAAACAGAUUUUGAAUGGAAAAAAGACAAUGGGAGCAAUGUGAGACAUCGGCAAAUUAAGUAAACUUUUACAUCAUUUUUUACAACCGAUACUUAACCUUUGAUUAUCAUCAAUUUUUCUUGAUGUAAAAUUUGAAUCAUUUUAAAAAGUGAUGUUACCGAAAAUUUAUAGAUGCAUCAAUUAUCUAAAUGAUGUAAACUUGUAUUUGUAUCAUCUUUUUGAAAAGUGAUAUAAACUAAUAGAAAUUGAAUCUAUUUUAUUCAAUUAAUGUCAAACUAGUUAAUUAUCCUAUUUAUCUGUCUCUCUCUCCCUUCCUAUUUAUCUGUCUCUCUCCCUCCCCAGAGUCCGACUCCAUCAUAUUCAUGUUCUUCCGUCAAUCUCUUCACCAACUAAACCAAGCCAACUAAACCCUCCAAUUCUCUACCAAAACACUCACUUUUGCACUGUUGAUGGAGGAUAUUGUGUGUUGAUGGCAAGCAAACACUCAUCGGAGCCGGAGUUUCACUUGCCGCUGCUUUUUCAGCCUCUCUCUGGGAGUUUUUAUGUUUUUGUUCUUCUGAAGUGAUUCCCAGCAAGCAUGAUUAUGAGCUUUAUCAGCCUCUUUGAUUUCCUUCUUCUUUUUUUUUUCACCUUCUUUUCUCUCUUUGGCUUCUAGAUCUCGGUCAAAUUUGGAGGACAUGGCGAGAACGCCGGUGGCACCGGUGAGAACACCUCCAACAGCACUUGGGAGAUGAAAGUUCAUAUGGAAAGACGGGAAAAGGCUCGUUUCACUGGUGUCAUCAUCGUGACAGUUGAGAUUAGAGAGAGAGAGAGUGUAUCUUAUAGAAGUUGUGAAAAGAGACGAUUUUAAUAACAAAAAAACUCACUUUUGCACAACUCAUAUUUACAUUGCUGCCAUUGAAAAAAAAAAAUUUAAAACAUUCCUAUUAAUCAUAUGGGUUUAGUUUAGGUGUGAAUUCAAUUGCUUUCUUUAUCAAUUCGAAGAAUUUCUUUAUAAUUUCAUGUAUAGCAGAAAUGCUUGAUCUCUAAACUAACAGGAAUUAGGCUUCUGAUCUACUUGGAUCACUCUGAUUUGUUUGGGAUUUAUUCAGGUUAGUUUGUUUAUUGAAACAAUCGAAAAUACUGAGUUUAUUUUCUAAAUGAAGAUUUGAUUCGCAUUUGAAUUUCUUUUGUAGCUCAACAAAUUGGUGGCUUAAUUGUUUGUUUGGUUCAUUAUUUGUUUGUAUAUACAAAAGAUUGGAAAUUGAAUAUGAGUUUAAUUAAGUCUGAUUGAGUAAUGUUUUUUGGUGCUUAAGAGAAUUGCAGAGGUAAAGGAAAACAAGACAAGGACAUUGGAAGAGUUUUUGUUCGCAUUGCUAAUUCUGGAUGCCUCUUGAAUUACAUGUUCUGUCCAGAAACCUCAGAAUUAAACAACAUCGGACUACGACCAAAAUCUCUGUUUUUGAUUUCAGGUGCAAUGUAAAAAGUGUGUUGGAAUUGAUAUCUAAAGAAACUAUAUGAACUUGAAAAGAACUUUUGCAACAACUUAUAAUGUUAUCUUCUUCUUCCAUAAAAUCUUUCACAUUCAUAAAGAUGAACCAACACAUUAAGGUUCCACCAAUACCAACAUAAACUACACAUCAAAAUCAAAGUUGUCAACAGACUAAAACAAACCAUGAAAUAAUCCUCAAAAUUCAGGUUUCAUGGUAUAAGCAAGUAGCUCAAGCAUCUGGCUGCUCCUUAAUACACAAAGCAAUUAUUCAACUCUUUAGCCUUGUCAUCACCAAUAAGCUUGACUCUCUCAAAAGCAUCCUUCCCCGAAAUCACACCUUGAGCAACACUAAUUUCCACCAACUCAUCCUCAGUACCAUCAUGCUCAGUUUCUGUAACACAGAAGAACCAUAGAUAAUCUUAAAACCUCAUAAAACAUAACAUAUCCAGACUUGAUCGAGCUUCUACAGAGUAGAAACAGAGGAAAUGGUGUUAUAUGUACCUUUCUGUUCGAGAUUAGAGAGAGAGAGGAGCGAGAUCAUCGGUUGGUUUUUCCUUAACAACACCUAUUCUUUGAUUCAAUCAGAUAUCCCAAACCAAAGGCCUAUGAAAGCCAACAAAACGACUUUCAAAGUGAAGUGACAAAUCCAAUAUUAUCUCAAAAAUGUUCAAAACUACUGGAACAACAACAACAUGCACCAAUCCAAUUAGCUAUGAACUGGUAAUAGUGAAAUCUACUUGUGAAUGCAUGACUAAAGACUUUCAGUUCCAAGCUACUAGUCUAUAUUUUGAGGUGGAAUAUGGUAAGAAGCGGCUACACACAUAUAAUUUCUACCAAUGGUGGAGGAAUAACGCAGACAAACAAAGGUUUUUCCGUCGCAUCCAAGACUUCGCCACUGUUAGAGUACAUACCAGGGAAUGAGCUAGUAGCGACACAAAAAGGUUCAGACUUUGAGAGGAAAAUACAGAGGUCUUCAAUGUCUUGAGUGUGAACUGUGUUGCCUUGUUCGUCAAGCUUGAACACCAUUACAGCUUUCGUUUGCAUUUUUACCGUACCACUGGCGGUGCAUCGUGACUCCACCAAGUGUUCACUCUUUGCAAGUUGCAACACGAAUGCAAACGCUCCCGUUUGGUCUUGGUCAGCUCGGGAAGGUUUUGAAAUCGCAAUCUUUGAAACUUUGGUUUGUUCUUGUGAAGUCAUGUUCACUUGUUUGUGUUUAGUUCGGAUUGUAGUCGGUUCAGAGUUAGUCUAGGUUUUAAAACGUGUAAAAAAACAAGAGAUUAGAUAUCAUCAAUUAUAAAUACUAUCUACAUUUAACAAAUUACUUUUUCUCUUAAAAACUACCUAUACUGCUAUACACCCAAAAAUAAAUAAUACUAAUGAAUCAUGUUCUGUGUUAAGAUUUGGAAAAUUAAAUAAAAGAUAUGAAAAAAAGAUUUUGGCUCCAAAGAUCUUGCUUAAAUAUGAUGUUUCCUUUUUUUGUUAACGAUUUUAAAGCAAGUUUUGUUAUAUUUCUGUUUGUUUUCUUAAUUAGUUAAUUUACACUAAUUGUAUUUGAUUAAUUUUUUUUUUGGUCGUAACUAUGAUUCAUAAUCAACACUAAACUUAGAUUUUUAGUUGGUUUUAAUUAUAACUAUAGUAAGCAACAUCUAUAUAUUAUUACUUUAUUAUAAUAAAAACAUUACAACUAUAUGUUUUUUAAAGCAAACUUAUAAAUUGACUCGAAUUGUAUAUGUUUUUAAAUAAAAAUAUUAUUAAAAAGAAAUAUAACAAAAUGAUGUUUAAUUUCAUGGGACGGGUUAUAUGGUGGGACGGGUUUGGGUCGAUAUUAAUACGGGACGGUAUACUACGGGUGAAAUCCUUGGAUUAACAAUCAAAUACAGUUAUAUAAUCUUAAACACUAAAUAAAAUAAAUAAUAUUAACAAAAAAUACAACUUGAAAUUUAGAAAUUAUUGUUAUAAAAAAUCGACCCGAAGUAUCUCGGGGUAAUAUAUAUAAUAUAUACAUAUGUAAGUAUUAUUUAACCAAACAAAACAAUAGGUUAUAUCUAUAGAUAAUUUUCAAACUUUUGUUUAAAGUAUAGCCCCGCGGUGUACCGCGGGUUAAAAUCUAGUACUACAUAUUUAACAAAUUACUUUUUCUCUUAAAAACUACCUAUACACCCAAAAAUAAAUAAUAAUGAAUCAUGUUCUGUGAUCAUGAUAAAACAUCAUCUAUAUUAUACAUUUUUGGUGAAGAUUUGGCCUCAAAAAUCCUUUUACAAUUUCAAUAUUGUUAUAUUUAGUCCCGUACAAAUCAAAUCUGACAAGACAUUAGUCUUAAUGAAAUGUACAAAUCAAGUCAUAAUCUCUACAAACCAUUCCUAUCUUAAUGAUUACGAGAUGAGAGAUCCUAACAUNNNNNNNNNNNNNNNNNNNNNNNNNNNNNNNNNNNNNNNNNNNNNNNNNNNNNNNNNNNNNNNNNNNNNNNNNNNNNNNNNNNNNNNNNNNNNNNNNNNNACUACUAACCAAUUGCCAAGCCAUGGAUUCGCUGCAGGAUAUAUAUACAAGGAUAAUAGCAGGAUACAGAGAAUAAGGUAAAACCCUAAUGGGCUGUGGGCCGGUUAUGGAGUCCAUCCAUAUGGUUUAUAACAACUAGAUCGAUUUUAUAGCAAUUAUUUACUACUCUUUAGAAACGGAUUGAUAGCAUAUUCCAAAAUACUAAACGAGUACAAAGAUUUUAUUCCAAUUUAGUUACAGUAUCAAAUAUAUUAUGCUUGGCGUUCAAGAGAUUUGUGACGUAACUUAGCAGCCUAUAAAUACUCUAAAGCUUUACCUCUCAUAACAUCAUCGAACACACAAUGCAACUCUCUGAAUCUGUAGAACGGGAUUUGUCGAGCUUCUGUCUUUGGGCUGAUCGUGUCAAGUUUAGAUACCAACCACUGGUCUUCUCCGCUUCACUAUAUCAACAUUCCUGAUGCAUGUUCAUACCAAUACAAUAGUAAGCUUUUUUAUAUAUAAUAUCCAUAUCACAAAACAAUCAAAAGUAUAAGUCUUAUGAUGCCAACCACAUUUUUUUUGUUUCGGGUCCAAAGGGGACUGCAAGGACGAAGCUGGAGAGAGAGAAAGAUGUGUUGCAGGAGCCAUUUACAUGUGUGUUAUCCAUCAGGUAUAAUUAUAAAUUCGAUCAAGAUAACCUAUUUCUUAGCCAGAUAUGUCUAAAUAGCAUAGUUGUAAAGUGCAGCCUCUACAUGUGGUUAUGCUUCAGCAAAGGAGGGAACACCAUCGAAGUGCAUUGGUACAGGAGAAAAGCUAACCUCCACCAUGUAAGAACUGCCAAACGCAUAUAAUUUGAGCAUCAGAUAAUUCAAGUCUCUAAAAUUUAGAUUCAUACAGAUAUGGGAUUCCAAUAUUAUCAAAACAGCUGAAACCAAUCUCUAUAACUCCGAACUAGAAGGAAUGGUGGAUGCAAUCUAAAAGAAUAUAACGGUACUCUUGAAUCAAAAAGAUUGUUCUCUACCUGCUUACUACAAGAUGUUUUUUACUUGCUGACAUAUAUAUUUUAAUAAAUUGUAGACAGAAUGGGCAGAUCAAGUAAAGAGAUGGGAAAGCUGAAAGAAGACAGCAUGAAUCGAUGCCUCUGAGUCGAGAAACCACCUUUUUUUCUUUUGUGCCUUCUCCAAAUUGAUUUGGUCCCAACUUUCUUCAAGGAUCCUUAGUCAGCCGACUUCGUUCAUUUGGUUUAAUCUCCUCGACGAGAUUCUCAUUUCUCGACUUCUCAGGCAAUCCAAAGCUUCGUUACCUCCUGCUCUUUGCUUGGAAAAUCACAAUCUAUGAGAUAUGGCGAGAAAGAAACUAUCGACUUCAUCGGAAUAUCAACAAAUCUCCGGACUCGAUCAUCUGCAGCAUACAAUUCACCAUCAAAAACAGGAUCUCAACUUUCCGAUCUGAGAACCCAGCAACAAGAAGCGACAUCAUGCAGCUAUGGAUCUCUCUCGGCUGAUUUCUUCUCUUCGUCACCACUCACCAUCCAUCGUUUUCCACUACUCAAAGGAAUGGGCUGGGCUUCUAACAUAUGGGUUCAAUUAUAUUGUGUAAUGGGUUUAUCAUAUACGGGCUGUAAACUCUAAUGGCCUUAAUGCCACUUUUUAAUUUUAUGCAACGAAUUAACAAAAAAAAAAAAAAGACAGCAUGAAUCCAUAUUUGGAAGCCAAUCUUAUAUAUAUAUAUAUAUAUAUAUAUAUAUAUAUAUAUAUCUUUUUUUUUUUUGUCGGUAUCUUAUAUAUAUAGAUAUUAGGGCUGGGCAUUCGGGUAUGCGGGUCGGGUUCGGGUAAAACCCGAUCGGGUAUGGGUCUUUCGGGUAGAGGAGUUUAGGACCCAAUAGGGUAAAUCUAAAAUAUCGGUUCGGUUUCGGUUCGGAUCUAAUCGGGUUUGGGUCGGUUCGGGUUUAGAUUUUUAAAACCGCUAAAUACCCAAAAAAAUCGGGUACCCAUCGGGUUCGGGUAUUUUAUACCCAAAUACCCAAAAUUUUACCAAAUACCCGAAUUUUAUCCGAAAUUUUAUCCUAAUAUCCGAAUUUUAUCCGCAAUUUUACUCUAAUAUCCGAGUUUCACCCGAAAAUUUAUCCGAAUAACCGGAAUUUUUUCCAAAUAUUUAAAAAAUUUACAAGCAUCUCGCGUAUAAAUAUAUUUUGUCUUAAAUAUUUAAAUAUAAAUGCAUUAAUUUUUGGUAACUAUUCUCGGAUAUUUAGAUAUAAAUGUAUUUAGCUCAAAUAUUACAUAAUAAAAAGUUUUAUAUGUAUAAAUAUAUGUAAUUUCGGGUAAUCGGGUACUCGUUCGGGUAUCGGGUUCGGAUCGGGUUUUACCCUAUACCCACGGGUACGGCAAUACAAGACCCAAUAGGGUAAAUAGCUAAUACCCGUACCCGCCCCGAACCGGUUUUUUCGGGUCGGUUUCGGUUCGGGUACUCGGGUACGGUUUUUCUGCCCAGGCCUAAUAGAUAUCUACAUAUUAUAUUUAGAAAACAAAUUAAUAUUGUAAUAUUUUAGAAUUCUCAUAACGAGUAUGAUUAUUAAAGGUUAGUCCGAUAUACUAAAGGCCAAAUCUCUUAAUAUUUAUAGAAUUAUGUUACAAAAUAGUAAUGUAAUGUUUCUAAUUAUUCAUUGUAUUUUCCUUUUUAAAAAAAAAAAAAAUACACACAUAUUUGGCCGAUUAAAAAUAAAUUUAUAAAUCGUUACUUACUCAAAUAGUUACUUACUCAAAUGUAUGUUUUCUAUGCACACAUAUUUGGCCCAAUAAAAAUACAUUAAAAAAUGCUUAGAACAUAACAAUAUGAUAUAUAGAUAUAGAUGUCUUAAAAAAAUUUACAAUUUCAAUCGGUUAUAACUAUAGAUAAUCAUCAAACAUUUAAUAUUAUAAAUUUUUAUACAAUCGUUUAAAAUAACAUAUAGUCUCGCAGUGUACCUAUAGAUAUAAUAUCCAUAGAUAUAAGUACAUUUAAAUAAAACAAAACAAUAGGUUAUAUCUAUAGAUAAUCUUUAAUAAAAUAAAUUUUUAAUUUUUUUUUUUAAAUAUAGGCCCGCGGUGUACCGCAGGUUAAUCUCAUUAAAGUCUCAUAUUAUAAAAUUUGUCUUUUUCAUUUCUAUAAAUAUAUUAACACUUAGUUGUCUGAAAUAUAAAAGAACAAAUAAAUACAAUAACUCUUUACAAAUAUAAUGCAUACAAAAUUUUGCACUACCACCGCUUUGUUUUCCUUUGUACAAAAAAAAUAAUAAGAGAUAUCAUAUUUCAAUAUUUAUAACCAUAAACAAAAUUUACAAACCAACACAAAUACUUGCACACAAAUAUAUACAUAUAUAUAUAUAUAAAGUCCUUACACACUUUCAAAACUAUUUAAAUAUACAACAAACACAAUAAGAUGAUACGUAAUUUACACACACCGUACAUUGUUGCUUACUAAAUUGUAAUCUCAUUUUUUUUUUUUUUAUUAUAAAUAUUCAAACAUACAACAUACUAAUCGUACAAUGAACACUAUAUAGAUUUCUAUAUACAUUCUAAUCAGACAUGUAAAUAUGUAAAUAGGUUAUAUAAAUACUUAUUAUAUUAAAAAAAUAUAUUAUUGAUUGUUUCUCAAACAGACAUAUAUUAUUAUUUAGAAUAAAAAUAUAAUCCCGCGGAGUACCGCGGGUCAAUCCCUAGUAAUUCUACAAAACCAAAUAUUUAAGGCUCCCAAAUCCAUUUCUAUAAUAAUACAGAUGAUUGAUGAUGUUAAUUUUUACCCAAAUGUGAAGAUGCAUGGCAAAUGUGACACGUGAACGGCACGAUGGUGGCGUAAGGGGCGUUCCCAUACGACGCAACACAAUGAACGAUGUGGUCAGAGCCAAUUCUUUUGUUUGACUUGGGCAAAAAACAACGGAGCAUUGACCUUGAUCGACGGACAAAGAAGCCUCGUGCACUUGGCACUAAUGGACAUAGGUUACACUUGAUUAUAAUAGACAAAUAAGACUAUAAACGUAAUCAAAAUCAUUAAUUUUACUAGCAUGAAAAAAGAGUAAUUUAUUUACAUUGUACUAAUAUACUAUCAUGAUGUAAGUUAUCCUAAUUCAAAUUAGUAUUUAGUAUUUACGUAUUCUUUCCUUUUCUACCGCAUACAUACAUAUUUUCAAUAGAAAAUAUUUGAAUCUGUGUUGAGAAGUAAAGGUUUUGAAAUGAUAAUAAAUCAUAUUGUUAUCAUUGGCGGUUGCAGAAAUUAUAUUUAUCUAGGCCAUAAUCAGUGUCGGCCCAAUAUAAUUAGAGGUUUUAGGAUAAAAAGUUUAUGGAUCUUUUAGUUUUUUAAGAGAUUUUUUUAUAUUUUGGACAUAUUAAAAAAAAAAACUCUUUGUCUAUUUUUGAAAAAAAGAUGAAAGUUUUAUAUAUUUGGACCUAAAUUUAGUACUUUUAAGGCUUUUUUAUAAUAUUUUAGAAUAUAAAACAGUUUGGAUCUUUUUUAGUACAAAAAUAUUAAACAGACCCUUUCUUUUAGAAUUGGGUACGACUCUGUCGCUUUUUUUUUUCAUACCCAUUUGGUCCAUGCUUGGGCACAAUCCUAGGAAAUUUGAUUUUUUUAUUAAUUUGAAUAGAUAUAUUACAAAAUUUAACUAAAAAUUACAUGAAUUAUGAAAAUGAGUAUGUGAUACUUGCUCUACCCCUCAUAAGUCUAUGUCCGCCCCUAACUGUUAUGUGACAUACGUCUUCGGAUCAAAAUAAAACAACAUAAUUUUAAAAGAUCCAAAGAAAACAAACCAAAGUAAAAACAAACUCAUAAGCCUAAUAUAAGCAAGUGCAUACAAAUAUGGGUCAUCACACCAUUAUAAGCUUGAUCUCGCUUAGCUUUGUUAAAAGCUUGUGUCUUCUUUGGACUUGGAUACUUUUUCUUCUUCUGAAAUACCUCCCAAGCUGUAUCCUCACGAGCUCUCUCUCGCCUCUUUGGCCCUCCUCUCAAAGUCUGAUCCGUUCGCUAUCCCUGCUUCUUCCUUCCCUGGCAUGUCCCCUAACUACGUCCAAUUCUUCGAUGUCGAAGAGAGCAUCUCCGUCAGUCUGCCUCAUUCAUCCAUCGUUGGUGGAAAUUGUACAUUCAAGGCACCUUACCAGAUUCUACCUCAGAACAUAUGCUAGUGGUUUGACAUUGUCAACUAGUCGUUUGGAGUUGAGUCUACUAGUUGAGUCUUCCAUUGUUUGAGUCUUAAGUAUGCGUCUGUCUUUUCUAUUAAACCUUUCAAAAAUUAAAUCUUCUGUGUUUAUAUACUCUCUGUGAGAGAGAUUGAUAUGCGUAUGCUCUUAGAGAACUUUGCUAUCAUCUCUUAUCAUCCACUUAUCAGUAAUUUUUACUAUGUGAUGUCAUGUCAUACUUGUUGUUUCUCACUAGACCAUGGACCAAGAAAUACAAUAUUGUUUAGUCCUGUUUUCACUGGUAGGACUCUUGCCCAAUCUAGCUGAGUGUCAAAAAGAUUCUUAAUAAUCAAUUUGGCUACAUGUCAUCUUCUGUUAGACUACUUCUGUAAAGCUUUUUCAUUAGCUUACCUCUAUGUGGUUUUUCGCCACCGUUGUUCAAGUUGAAUCGUCAUUUUGAAGCUGCAUCCUGGGGAUAAUCCUUUUGUUUUCAGUUUUGCAAAGGCAAGAACCAAAAAAAAAAACAUUAUGCCAGAUUCAUAACGAGUACACUAAUAUAGUUUUAUUUAUUUAUACAUUAAUAUAGUACCUAAAAUGCUUACAUUUGAAAAUUCUCAUAACAACUCUAUUAAUUCACAUUUGAAAGUUUAAGAGUAAUGUAGUCUUUCACAUUUGUUUCAUAGUAUUAGAAGAAAGAUCUCUUUUGAACUAUGAUUCACUCACAUUAGACAUAUAUAGCGUUACCUUUAUUAAUAACACAUUUUCAACUCUGGACUAAUCAUGGUUGUCCUGAAUUGUAAGUCAUUUUAAAAUGAAUAUUUGUAUCAUAAAAAUCGGCAUUAUUAACUAAAAUAGAGAAUUGAUCAGAAAAUCAAUAUAUAUAUAUAUAUAUAAUUGAAUUUACCAUUGCAUUUUUAAGGAGGAAUCGAAUUUUUUUCUGAUAAACGAGCUUUAUAUUAAAACUCUCGAAAUGCUGAGAAGAAGAAGAAGAAAGGCUGCCUUUUCUAACUUGGGCCGAAAUAGGCCUGUCUAAUCUUUAAUUUAAUGGGGCUUAAAGUGGAAAUAUAGCCCAAUAGAAGCUUCCGUGGUUUUAAAUAGUUUUUUUUUUGUCGAUUUUUUUUUUGGUAAACUAAAAAGAGUCUUUUGCAAAAUAACCACUUUUGAUAAACUAUUUAAACAUAUAGCACCAUAAUGUUAUAAAUUAAGUAAGUAACACAACUAAAGAAGGAAAUGUCUACAAAGUCCUUCACAUUUGUGCUUUUGGACGAGCGCGUGAGGAGUGAAAAACGUGGGCUGACGUAGUGACGGUGGCAGGGAUCGUGAUGGUGAUGGCCGCAAUGGCGACGGUGGCAGUAGCGGUGGUCUUUCACACUCUUUUUGGUGAUGAUGAUGAUGAUGAUGGCGGUGGUUGUUGUCGCCGUGGUGAUGGCGAGUGGCGACUUUAACUCCAUUAUCUUCAUCAUCAUCUAUUCAUCUUCAACGAUAGUUUGCAGCGUAAUAUGAGAAGAAGCAUCCAAUUCCAGAAUCACAAACUUUCAUUAUCUAAUUAGGGACCAUUCUAAUUAAUAUCAAACAAUAUAGAAUCAUCACCAAAAUAGUAUACUAUUUAUCUAAAGUCAACAGCGACUCCAAUUUUACGGGGUGUGGGAGUUGAAGUUACAGCGGAGUAGUCGUGAUGGUGAAAGUGACGCAGAGAUGGAGCCUGCGAGUUGGAUUGCUAUGAGGCCCUCUGUCUCUGAUCAUGGCCAGGCCAACUAGGAAAAAGAAGAAAUUUGAAGUGACCCUAAUUAGAUUGAAUCAAAAAAUUGGGUUCAAUCUAAUCGAAAAUCAAUUGAAUCAAAAGAAGCACAAUCCAAAUUCAUGAAAGAGAACUCUGAAAAAUUCUCGUAGAUGAAGUCAUGAAGAUGAAUGAGAAAGGAAGAAAAAAAAAGGAGACGGAAAAAAAGCGUGAAGUUUACAGUUUUUACACCGAGGACAAAAUUGUCAUAAAUACAAAAAAUACAGAGAAUAUCAACUGGUUUUUUGUUUGAUGUUAGUUUCUUAAUUUAUAAAUUUUUUUGUUGGACCUUUUUGUGGUUUUGUUAUUGGAAUGUCCAUAACCUGAAAAAGUAAAGGAAGCUUAGCUUUGUACAAGUAAGCAAUUACCUAUUUCUACUCUGUUUUUUUGCACUUAAAAAGUAUUCACCUUUUGCUAUAGAAUAAUAAAUAUGUCAUUCACUUCUAAUAUCUAACAUAGUUAAUUCAAUGGCUAUCUGUUUUAAUGUCUUCUUGUUUUUUCUAUUAAUAAAGCCAAUUCCUAGGGCUUUAUUCAGCAAAAGGCCAAGGAAGCCACUAUAAAGAUCUGAAAGAUGCAAUCGAUAAGAAUGUAUCCUAAAAUGUGUACUUGUUUUGACUCUCACACUCGAAUUAUGGGAUUUAAAAGUUCAUCGAUUGACUUAAUUCAUAUAUUCAGGGGACUUAAUUCAUAUAUUAAAAAUUUAAAACUCUCGAAAUGCUGAUUUGUUUCAAUUUUUAAAUAUUUAGUAAAGUAGAUUUGUUUCAAUUUUUUACUCCACGAAGAUAAAAGUGAUAAAUAUCAAUAAUGAAAAGGAUAAAUCUCAACAUAUUGCAUUUUUUUUGAUAAAAAAACUUGGUGGGUUAAAUAUAGGGUUUUAGGAGGAGAAGAUCACCAUUUCUUCAAUUAGGGCUUCUUUAUUUGAAUCUCUUGAUUUUCCAUAAGAACACAUCCUAGUUCAUGUCUCUGCUUCUAAGACGGCUCUCGAGGCUCCGCCUUGGGAAACCUUUGCUGGUAAGAUCCUCGGUUCUUCUUUCUAAUGGCUUCUCAUCUUCCUCGCUGCAAACUCCUCCUUGUUCCAUCCUCUACGUCACUCCUUGUGGAGCUGAUCUCGGAAAACUCGUGAUUUCGAAUGCUGAUGCACGUCACUGCAUUAAAUUGGAAAAGAAGGUGCCUCUGGAGUUGGUGGAUAGUGAUCCAAUGGUGACGAUAGGGGCAUCACAUGGCUGGGUAGCUACUUUGAAAGACGACGGAAUCGUGCGUCUCCAAGACGAUCUAAACCCAUAUGCAUCGGAUACAGAUCCGAAACGCAUCUCGCUGCCUCCUCUUGUGACUCUGCCUGGUUGCCAAACACAAGUUGUGACCAACGUGGCCAUGUCCUCGUCUUCCCCGGAGGAUGAGGACUGUGUUGUGGCUGUCAAGUUCUUGGGGUCUCAACUCAGCUUUUGCAGACCCGCUCAAGCUAACUCCGAGUGGCUCAACUUCAGGAUCGCUAGCCCCUGCUUCUACUCCUCCCCUGUCAUGUUUUCCAAGAAACAUGACAUGUUUCGCUUUCCCGGAUCUGGAGGCCACCUCAUUGGAUCAUGGGAUCCUCGGGCACACAAGCACAAACCCAAGUUCCAGAGGUUGCGAUUCCAGAACCUUCCCGAGCUGACCAAGACCAAACGGGAGCUUUUGCAAUCGUGUUGCACGAGUGAACACUUGGUGGAGUCACGAUCCACCGAUGAAACGUUCUUGGUUAAGUUAUACCGGAAGGUCACGGCCAGUGGUACCGUGAAAAUGCAAACGAAAGCUCUAAUGGUCUUCAAGCUUGACGAAGAAGGAAACGCGGUCUACACUAAAGACAUCGGAGAUCUCUGCAUUUUCAUCUCACAGGCUGAACCGUUUGCUGUCCCUGGCUUGUGCCCUAACUGGGUACGAGUCUUGGAUAUCGAAGAAAGCAUCUCUUUCUAUCUGCCUGAUUCCUCCAUCUGUGGUGGAAAUUGUUCAAAACGAGCACCUUACCAUAUUCCACCUCAAAAUAUAGUCUAGCUAUUAGUUUGGGAGUUAGAGUCUGAGUCUAGAGUCUGUCUUUUCUCUUAAUUAAACCUUGGAAACAUCAAACUAUUUUUGUCUAUGCGUUCUGAGAUUGAUUGAUAUGCAUUUGGUCUUGAACUUUGUCUUGCUCUUUGCCUCCAUAACUCAUAUAUGUAGGAUUUAUAUAUCGAAUAUCGAAUGUUGUGACACCCCUUUAAGCAGUGGCUAUCAAUUAGCAUACAUUACGCAUUUGUUGUAUUGACUGCGAAUUAACUAAUUGUUUUCACUAACCAUAAACCUAUUUUUUUAAAUCUCAUUCUGUCACUUUGGUCUUUAUUUUCUCUUUUAGACUUUUAUAUGCAAAUGUUCAGAUAUAAGGAUCUAAUAUUUACCGUCCAAUCCCAAAAUCCAUUGCUCUACGAGCUGCAUCAUUGUCCUCAUCACAAUCAGACAUUGGCUCAUACCAUUUUGCAUUUAAUGAUAUCCCGAUCUGACCACGUUGUUUCUCCUUGCAUAUGAAAAUUUCCCACAUUUUAUUCUGCACUAUGAAUUAUAAGAUAUUAAGAUUGUUCCCUUCUGUUUUCUUACCUUGAAGUUUCUCUGGUAGGUGUGGUAAGCUGCAGCAUGAGACAAGAGAAUGUUAUGAGCUACAACAUACGGUUCGACCGAUGACUUCCCCUCCUUACAGAACCAAUGUCCCAGAAGUGAGCACCUCCCUGGAGCUUGUAUCCCUGUGUCAUAGCCUUGGAUCGAUACCCCAUGAGGCUCAUUGAAAGUGAUCCAGUACUUCACUCUAUCUCCAAAUGCUUUGAAACAGGUGAAUGCAUAACGCUCGAAAUCAUCCCUGCACCAUUUUUUUUUAGCGUAGGAUUUCGUAACCAUCUCACCAUAUCAAGAUAUCACAUUUUUUUAGCAUACUUACACGACUUCUCUGCUUAGCCAUCCUUCAUAUCUGUCUUCUAAAGCUUGUGGGAGAUCCCAGUGAUACAAUGUCACGUAAGGUUUGAUUCGUUUGGCUAAAAGAGCAUCUAUUAGGCUGUUAUAGUACUUAACUCCAUCUGGGUUCACUUCCCCUGUUCCAUCUGUUAAAUUUUUGAUUGAUGGUUGUGUGAAUCACAUUUUGGGGGUUUGAGAUAUUUACCGUUUUCUGUGAUGAAUACAGGUGGGUUUCCAUACAUGUCUUUAAGAUACACUGCCAGUUUCCUGAUUCCCCAUGGGACAAUGUGUAGCCAGCUUGAUCCUGCCUGUUUCAAGUAAGUUGUUUCUCAUCAAAUACAACUGUUUAGUUUCUUUGAGAAGCCAGUAUGGAUUAGGGAACAUCUUCGGGUUUCUAUCAGAACAAAUACAUACUUUUUCUCCUAUAGCUACUCCUCCACGAAAAGCUACAACAAUUAGGAGCAAACAUUAGCUAAAACAACAAAGAAAGGUUCUUGCUUCUUAGAUUCUCUCAUUGAUGUCCUGUUACGUCUUAUCUUAGAUUUGUUUGGAUGAGGUUGCUCUGUCAAGAAGCAACCCUACAUUUAUCUUUGAGCUUAAGUCAACAAAUGUGUUCUUUUCAGGUAAAACUUACAUGAACCCUAUUAUAUUGAUCGACCGAAGUAUCCGCAUUGCUGAAAUCCAAUAUCUUUCCUGUUGAUCAAGAAAAAACUGAUUUGUUUGUGACAUUUUCUGAUUUGUUUCUUUAAUACCUGGUUUCUUCGUGAAAGUGUCCCAUAUGCUUUCUCCUUUGUACAGCUCCUUCGAACUGAUGUUCUUGCAAGAAAAUGUUGCGAUUGUCAAAAUCUUCUUUCUUUCUUGGAUCAGUUUGGAGAAGAAGAAGAAGAAGAAGAAUGUCACCUGGUAUGCUGACGAAGCUGUUCCGAAUACAAACCCAUCUGGAAAAUCUGCUCUGCUGAUAGAUUCUGAAGAAACAUGAUCAAGAGGGACGAAGAAGACGACCAAGAACGGAAACAGAACUAAGACGAGUCUCAUUAAAGAUUCCAUUUUUAGGUCGCAUGAAUAGAGAAAGUGUGUGUGAGAGAGAGAGAGAGAGAGAGAGAGAGAGAGAGAGAGAGAGAGAGAGAGGGAGAUAAAAGGGAUGGAAUUUUUUGGUGAAUGAAAGAUUUGGAGGAAGGAAAUGGAGUUUUUGUGUGUGUUUUUAAUUUGUAAAGUUGAAGAAGAAAGAGGAAGAGUGCAAAAGAAAAGCUCUCGUCUUUUGAAGGCUCUUCUUUGGUGUUGACAUUUGUUGUUGAUUUGUUCACUCUACUUUUACUGUACACGUUUCUUAUACUUGUGCCAAAAACUUUAAAAGAAAAUUGUACUCUCAGAUAAAAAGUUUGUUACUAGAGACAUUGAUUCACCUAUUUAACUUACCGAUGUUUUUUAUUUUAUUUGUCGAUGAUCUGGUUAUUUUUGUAACCCCAAUUAAAUUCAUAGAUUGAAUAAAAAAUUACGUACUUUAUUUUUCGAUGAGUUAAUAAGAGGGUGUUAUUUAAUGAUGGAGUUAAAAUCAAUCUUGGAUUUUGAUUCUAAUAAUUUACUCAGAAAACUCCACAGAGAUUUCAUUUCAAAUGAUUUAAUAUACAAAGAUUUUACAAGUCUUUUAGUUUUGAAUAACACCAAACUAUUAAAAUCUAAUGAAAUAUAAGAUCCAAUAACACUAGAUUUUAAAGUUAGAUUUAUAAAUUAAUACUAUAAAAAUAAUGUUGACUUUUAUAGCAUUUUAGCAUACAUAUCCGUUUAUCUAUGUUUCUUUUUUGUUUCUUAAAUUUCUAUCGAAAAAAAAAACAAGGUAAAUCGAUUUCAAUAUUGUUGGAUCUGGGCUUUGUCUUUCAACCAUUCAAACCAGCUCAUCAUAAAAAUAAUAGUCUCUCUGACCAGGCAGUCCAUGCUAGAUAGUCCAUUCGGAAAGUGACAGGUCCACUAAGAGAUCAGUCCGUCGAGGAACAGGCCCGUCCAACAGCAACCACUGUCACUAUGCACAUGUAACCUAAUGAUUCCAUAUCGAUUCCGAAAAGGAUCGAGGUAUCACAUCACUGUUAUAAAAACAAGUAUCUGACGACAAAAAAAAAAGGAAAGCUUGGACUGGUGUGGAAAUCAGGAAUUAUCCGGUUCUAACCCUUAAUUAACUAGGCUUGAUACUUCGACUAAUUAGAUCGUCCUGUUAUAGUAGAUCGGUACCUGAAUCUAUUUGUAUUAUGCCGAUCCCUGGUUAAGUUUAAUAAGAAGUGCCUUUUAUUCCGAUCCCAUAUAUGUUCUCCUUUAAGUUCGCGUUCAGGCCUACGAUCAUCAGUUGGCGACCACAUUGGGAGGUAACAGAAGCUACUUACUUGCGACAACCCGGCAUCGGCAGAAUGACGGACAGAGGAAGGUAAACAAGAAUUGAUGGAGAGUUCUUGGAGGACACACCUGACAUGGUCCCGUCGAUCGUAGGAGAACUUAAUGUACUAAGGGAGAACUUCAAACCAGAAGAAGCUGACGCCGGCAAGUGCCAAAUUUUUACCAAACAUCUAAGUGGUGCUGCGUUCGACUUCGAUGAAAGUAGCCGAACAAGCUUUGUCGAGUUCUUAAAAGCUAACGUCGCCACAUUUGCGUGGUCUAUCCACGAUAUGGUCAAUAUAAGCCCUGAGGUCAUAUGUCAUGAGCUUAAUGUCGAUCCCACGUACAUGCCUGUAAAGCAGAAGAGGCGAAAACUCGUAGCCGAAAGAAAAAAAGCGCUUAAUGAAGAGGUAAAAAAGCUGCUUGAGGUCGGGUCCAUAAUCGAAGUAAAAUACCCGUCCUGUUGUAGUCAACAAGAAAAACAGAAAAGCACAAAUCUGCAUCAACUUCACGGACUUAAACAAGGCAUGCCCUAAGGAUAGAUAUCCCUUGUCGCACAUCGAACGAUUAAUGGAAGUAACAGCAAGAAACAAGCUGUUAUCUUUCAUGGAAACCUUCUCGGGGUAUAAUCAAGUACUCAUGCAUAAGGAGGAUCAAGAUAAAAUAGCGUUUGUAACCAAUCGCGGAACCUAUUGCUAUAAGAUUCUGCCUUUCGGCCUGAAAAAUGCAGGGAUGUUUGUAUAACAGUUGGGCCAUAAAAUAGAAGUCUACAUCGACGAUAUGCUGGUAAAAUCGAAGCUAGCCACCGACCAUGUCAAACACUUGAAGAGAUGUUUUGCGACAAUACAACAUGAAGCUCAAUCCGGCAAAAUGUUUGUUUUGCAUGACUUCUAGGGAGUUCUCGGGGUAUAUCGUUACCAAACGCGGUAUCGAGGAAAAACCAAAAAAGAUAACAUCUAUAUUGAAUAUGUCGUCCCCUAGAAACAAACGUGAAGUACAAUGAUUAACUGGACGAAUUAUCGCCCUCAACAGCUUCAUCUCAAGAUCAACCGACAAAACCUUACCAUUCUAUCAACUACUUUGAAUGGACACCCAAAUGUGAGCAAGCUUUCUCCGAGCUUAAAAAGUACCUACCCACACCACCUAUCCUCGCCAAACCAGAAGAGGGAGAGAAGUUGUACCUAUAUAUCGCGGUAUCAAGCCUAGCAAUGAGUGGCGUCAGUCUGAGACUAUCGUGGUGAACAAAAACCAACUUUUUACAUAAGCAAAACUCUCGAUGGCGUCGAGCUGCGUUACCCAACGAUUGACUAAAUUGCAUAUGAUGUGGUAGUAUCGACAUGAAAACUCCGACCUUACUUCCAGUCUCACACCAUCGUCAUGCUAACCAACCAACCGCUGCGACAGAUCCUCCAUAAUCCAGGCCAAUCAGGACGAAUGUCCAAGUGGACAGUAAAAUUAAGCGAAUACGAUACGGAAUACCUCAGACGAACGAGCAUGAAGUCAAAAGUACAGGCCGAUUUCCUCAUUGAACUUCCUCCGAGCACCGAUUCUGAGCCCCCACCAAAGGAGAAAUGGAUCAUACACGUCGAUGGAGCAUCUUCCUAGCAUGGUUUAGGUAUAGGGUUGCACCUAACCUCGCCAACAGGAAGAUUCUCGAACAAUUAUUUCAGCUCGGCUUUUUUGACUCGAACAACGAGUCAAAAUAUGAAGCAUUAAUCGAUGGAUUUAAACUCGCGUCUGGAAUUGAUGUCAAGCACCUACAAGCAUAUUGCGACUCUCAUCUAGUAGCAAGCCAGUUCAGCGGUGACUACGAGACCAAAAACGAGAGGAUAGAUGCCUACCUAAAGAUCGUUCAGAAGCUGAUCAAGCAAUUCAUAUUCUCCGCCUUCGAUAAAAUUCCAAGAAGCGCAAACGCCCCCGGCCCGUAGAUGCAUUGGUCGUACUAUUCUCAACGUCUGAUCCAAACCUGCGAAGAGUGAUACCCGUCGAAAGCAUAUAUCUAUCAGUAGUAUAGACAGACGUGAUACCGUUUGCCUUGCCCAAACCAAUACAGCAGAGGAUCACUCAUACCUCAACCCCAAUGAUUGGUGAAUACCUAUAGUCCAGUAUAUUGCUGAUGGCGUUGUCCCAUCUGAUAAGUGGGAAACUCGACGAUUAAAAGCAAAGAAAGCUCACUACACAAUGCUCGAUGGCCUCCUCUUCUGAUAUAGCACCAACAAAAUUCUCUUCCUAUGCAUACGAAAGCAGGAAACUGAGAGGGUAAUGAAGAAAAUGCACGUUGGUACUGGUGGUAAUCAUUCAUGACGGCAUGCCUUAGCUUUGAAAAUAAAAAAACAUGGGCUUUAUUAGCCGACCAUGAUAGCAGAUUGUGAACAAUUUAUCGCCAAGUGCAAAAAAUCUCAAUGACACGCGCCGAUAAUUCAUGCGCCAAAGGAAAUGCUCACCAUCUCGACCGCACCUUAUCUGUUUACGCGAUGGACCAUGGACAUCGUUGGACCAAUAUCUGCAUCACACAACAAGAAGUAUGCACUGAUAAUGACAGACUACUUUACUCGAAGCGGAAUCGUACAUCAAGAUCCAAUCGAAAGAAGUCAAGAACUUUGUCUGAAAACUAUCAUAUGUCACCACGGACUUCCACACGAGAUCGUCACAGAUAAUGGGUCACAAUUCACUUCCAAGCAGUUCGAAGAUUUCUGCACCAGCUGGCGGAUCCGAUUGAGCAAAUUCACUCCAAUAAAAUCCGCAAGGAAACGGUCAAGCCGAGACACAAAACUAGACUAUCCCGGACGGACUUAAAAAGAGACUGGACGGUAAGAAGGACAAGUAGGUAGAUGAGCUCGAUGGAUUCCUCUAGUCCCACAAAAUGACGCCACGAUUAUCAACAGAUCAAACACCGAUCUUUCUCGUCUAUGGCAUGGAGGCAGUCAUCCCAGCAGAGGUCAACGUAGGAAGUCUCUGCCAAACGCUUCUUAUCAGCCAGCCUGAAUUAAAUAAUCAAAUGCUCAUCAAUAGCAACGACGAGGUCAAGGAGCUCUGCGACCAAGCACUUCACUGAAUACAAAACUACCAAAAUUCUGCAGCUCCGUAUUACAACAAAGCGUCCAUCAACGCUUCUUCGACAAAGGCGACCUGGUCCUACGAAAAUUCUUCGAAAAUACCACAGAGUUAAAGGCCGGCAAGAUGGGAGCAAAUUGGGAAGGACACUAUCAAGUAUCAAAGUUCGUCAAACCUGGCAUAUACGACCUCAUGACAAUGCCGGGCAUAAAAGUAUUACGAUCCUGGAACACGAACAAUCUAAAAAUAUACUACUACUAAGCAGUGGCCAGACCCUGAGUCUUUUCGACGAAGUCACAAUCGCUUAAAAAUAAAGAAAGGGAUGGCUCAACCAUCAUUUAUCAGUUUGUAAUGUGAACUACGAUCGGCUUGAUCCCUGAAAGGGGUACGUAGGCAACCUGUUCAGCUCCUCCUUCAGCUUCUCAGACUCUUCUGUUACGGUUUGAGCAAGAUGUUGUGUCUUUAUUGCAUGCUUUUGCGCCUCAUCCCUACACUCCUCCGCUAUCUUUGUGAGGCUCUCGGCUUUCUUCGUACGCCAAUCGUAGUGGUUAAUCAACAAGUUCAGCGAACCCACCAACUACAACGAUAGACAGAAACAGGUCAUAGAGAAGAAGAAAACAAAUCAGCAUAGACAAGGAACUAGCAAAAAAGCUCAAAAAUAACUAACCAAACACUCCAAACGAGUCCUGUCUUUAUAAGCCUCGGCCUUUAAGAGCUCGUCAGCCGCAGGCUCCUUCGACACAAGAGGGAUUAUCCGAAUAAUAUUCCCACAAUCCGCCUUGAUGCUCGACAAGGGGAUGUCUUGCGACUUGUACAAAUAAUUGUAGAAGUGAGGUAAGGUCGGCUCGGUGGAAGGAAACGAUCUCAGCUUCUUCGCCAGCCCCAAAACGAUCUCAGCGGUCUUUCGCUUACGCGAACCAGACUCGCCAGCAACGACCUCCUUCGAUGUUCCUUUACUCAGAGACGGCUCUGAAAGAGGACCCAUGCGAUUGGGAGUUUUAGAAGCAUUGUUGCCUCUAUCCUUAACCCCUUCGUGACGACCAGACGAUGCCUUCUCAAUCGUCUCCAAAGGACGGAGCAGUAACUUCCUCAGCCUCUUUCGACGAGUGACGGUCCUUUCCCUUCUCAGAGUUACCACGGCUCUGGAACGCGGUAGCAGCAUAGUUAGGGAUUGCCAUUUUCACCAUCUUCUCCUUCUUCUUCCUGGAACCGCGAGCUGACAAAAAAAACAAAGGAGCAAGCAGUUAUAUUUAUAAAAAAAGGGAGUAUGACUACACUAAUACCUUUUGAAUGCUUCUUUUACUUCAACUGAGGAACGAGCUUCCAUUUGAUUGAGUCCUGCUCUCUGAGAUGAUCCUGAUCUCGCAUAAAGUUCUCUGGGAGGUCUUGAAGGAUCUUAGCGACGGGCUCUGCAAAAACAAAAUGAUAGAAACGACGAAAGUAGUUAGCAACAAAGGAGUUUUGAACGAUCUUGAACGUGAAGCUAACCAACCGACUACUACCAUGAUGAAGGUUCAAUUUGGUCUUAUCACCAAUGGAAGGAUCUUCCAACACGUGUUCAUUAACUCACACAUAGAAAUACCGAUCCAUCUACUUAUGAGUCUUGGAAGGACCCUUAUAGACAAAUUUAGGGACAUCACUCACGUAAUACAUUCCGGAUUGGUCCCUAAUCUUCGAAAACGUGGUCGCCUCCUCAAAAAAGUGAGAUGUUACACUGAUCAGCACGCCUCUUCAGAGCAACCAUGUUUCUGAUCGUCGCGGCUGUAAACUAGAAAAUCGCCAAUUGACGAUUCUAGUAAUAUUGCAUAAAGAAAGUCAGGAGAGGGAACCGAAGAUUGCAUUUGGUGAAGUUAACCUCAUUCAGAUUGAUAUACCUAGCUCUCAUGACAUUUCUUAGGACGAUCGUUUGGCCCAAGAAUAACAAAUUCGAGCCCGUGAGAGAGUCACAAAAAUCAACCAUGUCCUGAAGGAUCUCAGGCGUGAUCUUGGUUCUUCCAACGUCAAUAGGCUCGAUCUCAUCGUCCCCAUCGGCGAUCUCCUCUCCACGAGCAAUCUUCUCGGCUCCUUCAAUACCAAGCUUGAUGAACGAUCGUAAACAAAAAAGGUGAGGAGCUAAAUGAUUAUUUAUAGCCUAAUAAGGGCAAAUAAAUGAAAAAUACGGAUACCAAUAGGAGCGGAGCAUAUUUUCCGCGUAGGAUUCGGAAACUAAGCCCACGCGGGAAUAUCCCGAUUUCAUGGCACAAACACUGAGGAUUCUCCCUCCAAAAUAAAGGAGGGCGGUGCCAAGAAACCAUAGGAAAUGAGACUCCUUCAUCAUCCUUGGUUAAAGCAACUCGUUCAAAUAAACUAGAGGGAAUAACUGUUGGACAUGGGUUUGCCUUUCUAACAUCCAAACCGGCCCAUCAAGAAAACAAUAGAGUCUCCCUGAUAUGCUGACCAGGCAGUUGAUGCUAGAUACUCCAUUCGGAAAGUGACAGGCCCGUUUAAUGAUCAGCCUGUCGAGGAACCGGUCCAUCCAACAAUAAAAAGAAGUUACAUCAAAUUCAAAAAUCUAAAAUGUUUCUAGUUUGGUUUUUGGUUGGGAUAAUUUCUUCUACGAAACUGUACCACCCAAAAAAUGUAAAUUGAAAUCCAAAACCCAUCUCAAACGAAAAACUAAAUAAGAUUAUUUCAAAUUAAACAAACGUAUAUAGUUUAAUGAUAAUGGCUAAAAAUAAAUAAAACAUCGGUAUGUUUGUUGUUUAUUUGAGUAAAAAGAAAAUAGUCGUGAAUGGAAAAGUAACCAAGAUAAUAUAAUGAAAAUUUAUGUUGAUAAAAUAGGAGAAGAACACAUGUAGUUAAUUAUACGUAUUAUAAUGUUUUGACGUUUUUCUUUAAAUAAAUUGAUUUUAAGAAAUGUCGACCGCAAGGUGUAAAAUUGUUUAUUUGUUUCCCGAGUUUGUGGAGGGGGCCACAAGUCCAAAUUUAACUGCAUAAACUAAUCAAUAUGAGAUAACGUUUCUAAUUAAGUUAUUCUAUUCUUGUUAUUUCUGGUUCUAUUAGACUCGUGUGGGUUAGGAUUAUAAUAUAUUAAAAUCAAUGGUCCGUCAAUAUAUAUGAUUGCAAUGGUCCAUAUAACACUUAGAAAGCAGCAACAUAAACUAACUGAUUAAUUUCAAAACUAAUAUAAUUAUAAACUAUAAGUUCGUGGUAUUUAGGUCUGAGCAUUUAAAUUUCGGAUCGGAUUCGGUUCAGAUAAUUUAAGUAAAAAUGUUAUUAUCUGUUCAGAUUCUAUGACUAUUCGGAUCAGAUUCGCUUCAGAUAGUGUCGGAUUCAUAUCGGUUUUCAGAAAAAAAAAAAAAAAAAAAGUUUCAUUUUACUAAAAUUUGGCUAAGUUUUGCAAAAAUAUGUAUAAUAUUAACAAAUAUAACUAAAAAAUUUAUGAUAUCUAAGUUAUUUAGGAUAUUUUUGUUAUUUGUUAUAAAAUUAUAAUAUAUUAAAAUCAAUGGUCCAUCAAUAUAUGAUUGCAAUGAUCCAUAUGACACUUAGAAAGAGCAACAUAAACUAAUUGAUUAAUUUCAUUACUAAUAUAAACUAUAAAUUCGUGGUAUUUAGGCAUGAGCAUUCGGAUUUUGGAUCGGAUUCGUUUCGGCUCUAUUUGGAUUUGGAUAAUUCGGGUAGGAGAGUUUAUUAAUUGUUUGAAUUUUAUGACUAUUCGGAUCGGUUUCAGUUUGGAUAGUUUCGGAUUUAGAUCGGUUUUCGGGGAAAAAAAAUUUAGAAAAUGUUCAAUUUAAAUAAUAAAAAAAAAAGAGUUUAAUCUUACUAAAAUUUGGCUAAGUUUUGCAAAAAUAUGUAUAAUUUUAACAAAUAUAACUAAAAAAUUUCCGAUAUAUAACGUUAUUUAGGAUAUUUUUGUUAUUUGUUAUAAAAUUAUAGCUAAAUAAAACUAAUAUUUUUGGAUAUUUUUUCGGUUUUCGGUUCGGAUCGGAUUUGGUUCAGAUGAUUCGGGUAGGAAAAUUCCUUAUCCGUUUGGAUUUUGUGAUUAUUUGGUUCGAGUUCGGAGUUGGAUCGGUUUCGGAUCGGAUUUCGAAUUUUAUGCCCAAGACUAAUGGACUAGUGUUAUUAAUAAGAAAAUGAGAGCAUGCAUAUCUUUAUUAAUUUAAUUUAGUAAAAACAAAUGACGAUAUACAAUUAGAAAUCAACACCUGAAAGCGGCGGGACCCACUAUAUAACGGCGCCACACACCUUUAUUAUGUUAAAAAAAAAAAAAGAAGAAGAAGACAAAAACUUUUGAGGAUGAUGAUGAUGAUGAUGCUGCGUGGGGCCAUGGCUGCGAGAUCAAAUCUUUCCGGUGGGGUCCUCGCCUUUGCUGGAAGAACAAAUGUCUCCGGCGGAGUCUUCGCGUUGGCUGCGAGGAGAAACUUCUCCGAUCAUUCCGAUUCUUCCGCGGAAGAGGCCAGGCUAAAUGAAAAUCAGCUUCGCCUACAGGCAAGACUCCUUGCUGAUCAAGCUUUAAAAGACUCAAAGAAACGGCUUGGGCUAGUUGACCAAACCUACCUUGCAAGAGCAAUCAAGACUUGUGAAAGGAAAAGUUCGAAGUUCUGGAAGCGGGUUUAUAAAGUGGAGAAGAAGAUGCUCGCUGAGAAGAAGAAGAAGAUGCUCGCUGAGAAGAAGAAGAAGAAUGGCGACCAAAUCUCUUAAUUUUGUUAUGUGAUUUGUGUUGUUAUAUGAUUAAAAGCAGUCUUUGAACUGUCAACGUCGCGCAUUAAUAAAGACACCUGCUUUUUCUUUAUCCUGACUUUUUUCCUAUUUUAUUCCGGCGUAUUAAAUGGUCAAACACACAAUUAGCAACAAAACAAAGCACUCGAAUUUUCAAAUCUUUCUCUCGCUCUUUCGAAUCCUUCUCUCUGUUUCUUGUGGAUUUUUUGUUUCCGUUUUGAUUAAUCGCAUCUGAAGAUCUCUCUGGUAUCGAAAAAUGGGUGAGAACGCCAUCUCAGGUUCGUUUCGAAAUCUUUCUUUCUUUUGUUCUUGAUCUGUCGCUGUCGAAUGAUCUUUAAUGAAGCUGGAUUUGAGUUGGGUUUUCGUUUUCCAUGGAAUUAAGUAUCUGGGUUUCAUUGUUUUGCCUUAAAGUUUUGUUCUUUGAUCAUAUAUCUUCUUGGGUUUGUUCUAUGGAUCUCUGUUUGUUUCUGUGGAAAAACGAAAUCUGUGCAUGCGACAAGUCUUUUAUCUUGUGUUAUCGUUUGAUUGACAAAAUCGAGGAACUUUAGAGUUGUUGUUAGAAUUCGAAUUUGAUUUUCAUUUCUCUUUUGGUAAUAGGUAAUCUCAAGAAUCUAAAAGAUCGAUACAAGAGAUUCAGAAACUCUUGUGGUAUGUUUCGGUGAAAUGUGAUUGAAUUUUUUCCAACGGUUGGAGGUGUUUCACUAGCUGAAACACCAGCUUUCAAGAAGGCUCCUGGAGGAGCUCCCGCAAAUGUAGCUGUUGGUGUCUCUAGACUUGGACCACUUGGUGGUUCGUCUGCUUUCAUUGGAAAGGUCUGAGAUUUUUGACUCAGAAUUGAUGAUGAACUAAGGGGUUUUGUUUUGAAUCCAAUCUUAGUUUCAGUUUUGUUUAUAAACUCAGGUUGGUGAUGAUGAGUUUGGAAGAAUGUUAGCUGAUAUUCUAAGGCUUAACAAUGUCGAUAACUCUGGGAUGAGGUUCGAUCACAAUGCACGGACUGCUCUUGCGUUUGUUACACUAAGAGGUGAUGGAGAGAGGGAGUUUUUGUUCUUCAGGCAUCCGAGUGCUGAUAUGCUUCUUUUGGAAUCUGAGCUUGAUAAAGACCUCAUCCAAAAGGUGAACUCUUUUCAUCUUUUGAUCCACAUUUGGAAUGAGACUAAGUCCACUGGUUUGUUUUUGUUUUAAGUACAGGCCAAGAUCUUUCACUACGGAUCUAUCAGUUUGAUUGAGGAACCUUGCCGUUCUACUCAGCUUGCAGCUAUGAAAAUCGCUAAAUCCGCAGGGAGUCUUUUAUCUUAUGACCCGAAUUUGAGAUUGCCAUUGUGGCCAUCAGAAGAAGCUGCAAGGAAAGAGAUCAUGAGUAUCUGGAAUUUAGCUGAUGUUAUAAAGGUAUGAUCUUUUUUUUUUACUACCGAUAAAGAUCAGAUCAGAUGCAUUCCUCGUACUUAAAAAUGACACAAGUCGUGUUGAGUGUUUUUCAGAUUAGCGAGGAUGAGAUUACAUUCCUGACCGGUGGUGAUGAUCCCUAUGAUGAUGAUGUGGUGUUGCAAAAGCUCUUUCAUCCCAAUCUUAAGCUUCUUGUUGUUUCAAAGGACCUAAUGGCUGUAGAUACUACACUAAGGUUUGCUUCUCUUUAUUUUUUCUAUCUUCUUCGAUAUCAAAUCGGUAUUAGAUUGCUUAUUCUUGUUGCUAUAUUGUAUUGUAGGAGUUUAAAGGCAGAGUUGGUGGAGUAAAAGUGAAGCCAGUUGAUACAACCGGUGCAGGAGAUGCAUUCGUGAGCGGGUUAUUGAACAGCUUAGCUUCUGAACUCACUCUUCUCAAGGUACUUACUUAUCUCUAACAUUUUACCUUCUCUGGCUUUUUGUAACUAAGACUAUGAAUCAAUGACAUUAUGUGAAAUUUUGCAGGAUGAGAAGAAACUAAGAGAGGCGCUUAUAUUCGCAAACGCUUGUGGAGCCAUUACGGUAACAGAGAGAGGAGCUAUUCCGGCCAUGCCCAGCAUGGAUGCUGUUGAAGAUCUUCUGACUUCUACUCGUUCCUAAAAUGCUUCAAAAAGUCUCUUUUGAGUGUAUCAAUUCAUUACCUUUUACUGUAUUUUUGGUUUUUAAAUCUUUUUCCCCCAAUUUGUAGGAACUCAAGAAUGUUGUGUGUGUGUUUUUAGUUUGUUGAUCUAUCCCGGAGUUUUAGUAUUGGGGUGGUUUGGUUUUUAUAUCAAGUUAGGUUCUACAAGGAACAAAUUCAUGCUUUGUAAAACUACUUGCCGUUUUUAUGUAACGAGAACGACACACACUCUUUAAACCAAAACAUGAAAUUGUUCGCUUCGAACUAUUUAAUUGAUAUUUAAACCGGUUUACGGUUUACGAGGAGCUGAACGUGAGUAGCACGUGACACCUCCAUAAAUUUUGUAAGUCAAACUUGAUUGGGAUUUUGUGAAAUUGUGAUAAAGCUGGGGGUACAACGGACAUUUUACAAUGUUAACGGCGUUAAGAAAAGAACGUUAAGUCUUCGGUGGAAACUUAACGAACUUCAAACUUUUGAUUUCACCGUCAAAAUCAAAAUCCGGGACGAUAAUUCUCACGUUCUCCAUCACUUUCCCUCGAUCCAAACCAGAGCGAAGAGUGGGAACUACACGCGAAUCACGUCAACGUAAUGCGAUUCAUGGAAUGUGAAUUUUGAAUUCGAGGAAGAAGACGAAAUCGGAGCAUUGUUGGAUCGAUUUUUGAAGUUUGGAGGAGGAAAUGAUGGCGUCGGAUCCAAAACUGAAGGCUGAGAUCGGAGCCGAUGGUCUUGCAAGAGAAGCUCCUGUUAUUGCUUACACAGAGAAGGUAAAUUUUACUCUAUGGAUGUAUAUUCUGUAUUAUCUCCCAACAAGUGUUCGUGUGAUUCUCUUUUACUGAACGCGAUUUGAUGAUUUUGUAUGAAUCAGAUCAUUGAGGAAGAGCAAGUUCAAUUGAGGAAGUAAGUACUUGUUUCUAAUUCUGGGAUUUUGUUUGAUCGAUUUGUUCAUUUUUGAAGGAAUGUAGUGUGCAUUUUACGCUCUUAGAUUCUCCUUUUGGGCUGCUUGAUCUUAAGUCUCAGCUAGUGUUACUUGCUUUAGGAGUGCCUUUUUUUUCUCCUGAAUCUUAGACAUGACGAAAUUUUAUGGAGGAAACACAUAAACUUGCUGAAGAAUUUGGUCAGUAGUUAUUGCAGAAUCGUCUUAUGAAAUCUGCCUUAUGCAUGUUGUUUAGCUUGAUUGUUUAUCAAAAAUCAGAUAACUGAGAUCUGUGGAGUAAUUUUUUUUACUUAGCCACUGUCAGGGGUCUUGGAGUUUAACAUGAUGAAUAGAUAUAUGUUGCAUUCUUCUGUGUGUGUCUGUUUUAAGUUAGAUUAGGGUAAAGAUGAUCCUAGAGAAUACCGGUUUCUCUAUUAGGGGAUUUGAGAGACUUUUGGAACAUUGUUGCUCUAAGAAUGUGAAUGUAGUUGUUUCUUCAGCUCGUCUUCUGUGAAACUUCCUUCUAAUGAGAUUCUUUAUGUCAUCAUGUUAUAGAUACAUUGAGGAGAACUAUACAAAAAUCAGGGAUGUCGAAAGGGAAUUUGGAAACCUCACAAUGGAAUUGAAACUUACUGCUGGACCUAAGAAAGCAGGUUCAGCUAGUUAACUUUCUUUUUCUUUACUCAAUGUGACAUGGUUUAUUGGUUUUGUUACAUAGAACAGUCUUAUUGAUUAAGUUUUUUCUUUUCUUCUGUUGUCCAUACCUAAAGCGAUGGAACACUUGAGAAAGAAAAUUGAAAUCUCAACUGAAAGGAUCCAUGUUGCUAAGUUGGAAGAAGAAGAAGCGCGAAAGGUUUCUUAUCUCUCUCUUUGAUUUAUGUAUCUCAAUGUUUUUGCCUGUCUUGUUCUGUUUAACCUCACAUGGCAUUUAGAAUUAGUUAUAGGUGGAUGUGAACAUUUCUAUUACCUGUUUGUGCCUCAUAGCAAAAUAAGUUAUAUGAAUGGAUAUUUCAGAUAUCAUGGUCUGAUGAUUAAUUUCAAACAUUACUGAGUAAAAGAAUGUUUUGCUAAUCUUUCCAGUGCUGGAGUAUCGUGUUUCAUGUCGUGCUGUGACCUAUAGGAAUUCAAAUCUUCUUUAGAUUGUUUAACCUUACCUUUGAAGUCUAGAGAUUGUUAGUUAACCUCUUUUCUCUUAUUAAGCAUUUGAAGCAGCAUCAAAAGUUGUAAAGGAUGAAGAAGCAGCAAAACAGAGUCUUUGCGAAGAUUUAAACCGUCUGGUAUGUAUAUCUGUUAAAAACUGAUAACAUGAAUUAAAUUUUUCCCAUUGAGAGACAUUUAAAUCACAAUCUUUUCUAAAAUGUAACCAUAGGUACAACAAAGCAGCAAUACGCAGUACGCCAGACUUGAGGAAUUAAAAAGAAGACUAGAAGCGCUGAAUCCAAAUAGAUCAUCUACUUCUAUUCAGCAAGUAAACAAUCUCACCUUCUAGUUAAUAUUCCAUCUGUUUCCAGUAAUGCAACUUAUUCUAACUGUACAGACAUCAGAUAAUUCCUGCAUGAGUAUGUUGCUAACCACAGGUAAUACUUUGCAAAUGAUACUUGAAUAAUCAAAUCUAUUUACUUGGCCAUCAGUGAUACACGUCAGAUGUUUUUAAUCUCUGAUUGUGUUCCAUAUUUAGGUCCAAGAACCGGAGACUAAAUCUGUAGUAGACAGCUCACCAGCAGCCAAUGCUAAUGAGACUCACCCGGGAAAACCAGAAAAUAACCAUGGGAACGAGGAGGGAGGCAAAGAACAUGGAAAGAGGCCAGCAACAGGCCAACAGCUGAAGGAGAAUCAAAAGCGAAAAAGAAACCACAGAAUCAAGGAAAGGGAAGAGGAAUUGGAGUCAUGAACAAAGGCAGAGGAGGUUGGACAGGUGCUGGAUUCGAUGUCGAUGGUAGAACUUGAGGAUACAUAUAUCUAUAAAAUACAUAUACCGAAAGCCGCCUUUUCGAAUCAGAAGUAUGUCAAAUAUAUUACUACCAGGUACGUUCUAUUCAUCUUUUAACAUCGAUGGACCUGUACGUAGCCACAGAGACCUCUCAUUCUCUCAUACACUUUUGUUACUGAUAAAAAAAAAACCAUUCAAUCAUAUUUGGCUGUUCAUUGAUCAUCUCUUGUGUGCGUCUCCAAUUUUAUGCAAUUUGGUUGAUCUGAUAAUCUGAGAGCAGUUGGAUUUUAUUGUCUAAUAUGUUAAUGAUAUGGAGGGGAAGUUUCUUAUGAUUAGUAAUCAUAGAAUUUAGAAAGUUAUAAAGAUAUGAAUCGCAAUUUGGGCUCUCUAGCUUGAUCGAAAUAAAAAUUUGGGAUCUCCUGAAUUAACUGGAACUGAUGGUAGACAAAGGUCAAAAGAGUAACAGUAAAUCUUAAUGCUUCCUUCUUCUCUUGCUCUGUAUAAUAAUGUGAAAUUUGAACGGAUCUGACUGCAGAUUUCAUGUUUUGUUUUGUAGUUACCAAAUCAACAAACCGACGCCGUCAAAAUCCUUCGCCUCCGGAUAUCUCCACCAAUCUUCAGCUGCUUCUCCUCUGCAACAACUUUCCGGCGUCCGUAACUUCUCAUCUCCCAGCAGUGAUUUCAACAGGUAUUUUAAAACCUAAUGAUUUCGUUAAAAGCUUUGUGAAGUUUCGAUUUGAGUUCAGAUUUUCAGUAGAAACCUAUGGAUUUGAUCGGUUAGGUUUAACGGAUCUUCGCUUUUUGUAGCUACAACAUUAAUCCGCCGUCUAACUGGGGAAUCCGAAUCGUGCCGGAGAGGAAAGCUUGUGUGAUUGAGCGGUUUGGUAAAUUCCGCAAGACUUUGCCGGCGGGGAUUCACUUUCAUGUUCCGCUUGUGGAUUGUAUUGCUUAUGUGAAGAAGCGAUUCCUAUUGGUAAUCAGACUGCGACCACAAAGGAUAACGUUAGCAUCUACAUCGAUGGUGUUCUCAACAUUAAGGUUUAUCUUCGUUUCAGAUUCCAAUUUUGUAUACAAUUUCGCUAUUCUUCCUGUUUGGCUUAUGUUAAUUUGUCAUUCGUCUUGAGUUUCCUUACAGCUUGUAAUAACGGCUGCAUCAGAAGAAGCAUUUCCUUAUCCUAGUGGUUGAUUCCGACCGGCCGGCGUUCAAAUUGAUGCAUUUGCCGACCGGCGUCGACUUCCUCUCCGAUGCAGAUUUCCGGCGAUUUCUUGGUGGAGCCAUGGAUGGCGUCUCUGGAACUCGUGUGCCAUUGUUGUAAGACAAAUCCUGUAACUGUGCUUUUAAUUACAUUUGAUUGAAUCGUCUGCGACUGUUAACAAAUCAUGAAAAUUGAGCUAUUGUAUAUAAAUUCCUACACUAUAUAUGUUCCAUCUGUUAAAACCCGAGUUUAACAGACCAGUCGAAACUCGGUAAUAACAAUACUCUUAUCACAGCUAAAUGAACUAGACUUACUAGUGAAUAUUCUUGACCAAGAUAUCGAGAAUCUGUAAGCAUCCAUUCUCAGAUCUUUCAGCAGGUCUAUGUCAUUCAGUGAUAGCAAAACAACAAAGAAAGGUUCUUGCUUCUGAGAUUCUCUCAUUUGUGUCAAUGUUGCGUCUUAUCUUAGAUUUGUUUGGAUGAUGUUGCUCUUCCAAGAAGAAACCCAACUUUUAUCUUCAAGGCUUAAGUAAACUAAUGUGUCUUUCUUAAAUUAAAAUUGCUCAUUCUUGUCGUUUCUUCAUUUUUUCACCGGUUAAAUGUAGAAUCAGAAUUCAUAUAUAUCUUCCAAUCUUUACUAUGAGCUGCUCCGUUUCACAACAAUUUUGUAUUCCUGGACAAUCAUCUCUUAACAACAUCUAGCCUUCAGUGGCGUAUCUUCAAUUCUUUUUUGGCAAUAGUAGAUCCCUCCUUGUCCCUUGAACCAACUAUCAUUUUAUGUCUUUUAGCUCUUCUUGUUUUCAAAUGUGUUAUAACACUCUUUUUAUAUUAUAAUCCACACUCUUUUCAUCAAAAUUUCAGCUAUUGUACAUAAGAGCCAAUUCCUAGGGCUGUUUUCAGCAAAAGGCGAAGGAAGCCACUAAAGAUCUGAAAGAUGCAAUCAAUAAGAAUUUAUCCUAAAAUGUCUACUUGUUUUGACUCUCACACUCGAAUAAUGGGAUUUAAAUGUUCAUGGAUUGACUUAAUUCAUAUAUUUAGGGGACCAAAAAAAAACCUUUUGAAUAUUUAGUGAAGUAGAUUUGUUUCAAUUUUUUACUCCAUGAAAGUGAUAAAUAUCAUGAUGAAAAGGAUAAGUCUCAACAUAUUGAUUUUUGAUUUUUUUGUGUCGUUGAUAAAAAAAACUUGGUGGGCAAGGUCUUAAUCUGUAUUAAUAUAGGGUUUUAGGAGAAUAAGAUCACCAUUUCUUCAAUUAGGGUUUGUUUAUUUUAAUCUCUUUCUUUUCCACAAGAACAUCCUAGUUCAUGUCUCUGCUUCUCCGACGGCUCUCGAAGCUCAGCUCUGAGAAACCUGCGUUGGUAACAUCCUCGGUUCUCCGUCGUUCUAAUGGCUUCUCGUCUUCCUCGCUGCAAACUCCUCCGUGUACCAUCGUCGGCGCCGCUCCUUGUGGAGCGGAUCUCGGGAAACUCGUGAUUAUGAAUGCUACUAAAAAUGGCUGCACUCAUUUGGAGAAGAAGGUGCCUAUGGAGUUGGUGUAUAGUGAUCCAAUGGUGACGAUAGGGGCAUCUCAUGGCUGGGUUGCUACUCGGAAGCACGACGGAAUCGUGCGUCUCCAAGACGAUCUAAACCCAUAUGCAUCGGAUACAGAUCCGAAACGCAUCUCGCUGCCUCCUCUCGUGACUCUGCCUCGUUGCCAAACCCAAGUUGUGACCAACGUGGCCAUGUCCUCGUCUUCCCCGGAGGAUGAGGACUGUGUUGUGGCUGUCAAGUUCUUGGGGUCUCAACUCAGCUUUUGCAGACCCGCUCAAGCUAAUUCCGAGUGGAUCAACUUCAGGAUCGCUAGCCCCUGCUUCUACUCCUCCCCUGUCAUGUUUUCCAAGACACAUGACAUGUUUUGCAUUCCCGGAUCCGGAGGCCAUCUCAUCGGAUCAUGGGAUCCUCGGGCACACAAGCACAAACCCAAGUUCCAGAGGUUGCGAUUCCAAAACCUUCCCGAGCUGACCAAGACCAAACGGGAGCUUUUGCAAUCGUGUUGCACGAGUGAACACUUGGUGGAGUCGAGAACCACCGGUGAAACGUUCUUGGUUAAGUUAUACCGGAGGGCCACCGCCAGUGGUACCGUGAAAAUGCAAACGAAAGCUCUAAUGGUCUUCAAGCUUGAUGAAGAAGGAAACGCUGUUUACACUCAAGACAUUGGAGAUCUCAGCAUUUUCAUCUCAAAGUCUGAACCGUUCGCUGUCCCUGCUUCUUCCUUCCCUGGCAUGGCCCCUAACUACGUCCAAUUCUUCGACGUCGAAGAGAGCAUCUCCGCCAGUCUGCCUCGUUCAUCCAUCGUUGGUGGAAACUGUACAUUCAACGCACCUUACCAGAUUCCACCUCAGAACAUAGGCUAGUGGUUUUGAAUUGAGUCUACUAGUUGGUUGGAAUUGAGUCUACUAGUGCUUUUGAGUUGAGUCUUCCAUUGUUUGAGUCUGUCUUUUCUAUUAAACCUUUCAAAAAUAAAAUCUUCUGUGUUUAUAUAAGAGAAAGGUAAGCAAUGCAGAUUGGACUGUGUUUUAUGUUUUUUUGCUUCGAUACAUUAAUAUAGUACCUAAAAUGCUUACAUUUGAAAAUUCUCAUAAGGACUCUAUUAUUUCACAUUUGAAAGUUUAAGAGUAAUGUAGUCUUUCACAUUUGUUUCAUAGUAUUAGAAGAAAGAUCUCUUUUGAACUAUGAUUCACUCACAUUAGACAUAUAUAGCGUUACCUUCAUUAAUAAUACAUUUUCAACUCUGGACUAAUCAUGGUUGCCCUGAAUUGCUAGUCACUUUAAAAUGAAUAUUUGUAUCAUAAAAAUCGGCAUUAUUAACUAAAAUAGAGAAUUGAUCAGCAAAUCAAUAUUAUAUAUAUAUAUAUAUAUAUAUAUAUAUAUAUAUAUUUGAAUUUACCAUUGCAUUUUUAAGGAGAAAUCGAUUUUUUCUGACAAACGAGCUUUAUAUUAAAACUCUCGAAAUGCUGAUUUGUUUCAAUUUUUAAAUAUUUAGUAAAGUAGAUUUGUUUCAAUUUUUUACUCCACGAAGAUAAAAGUGAUAAAUAUCAAUAAUGAAAAGGAUAAAUCUCAACAUAUUGCAUUUUUUUUUGAUAAAAAAACUUGGUGGGAAAGGCCUUAAAUAUAGGGUUUUAGGAUCACCAUUUCUUCAAUUAGGGCUUCUUUAUUUGAAUCUCUUGAUUUUCCAUAAGAACACAUCCUAGUUCAUGUCUCUGCUUCUAAGACGGCUCUCGAGGCUCCGCCUUGGGAAACCUUUGCUGGUAAGAUCCUCGGUUCUUCUUUCUAAUGGCUUCUCAUCUUCCUCGCUGCAAACUCCUCCUUGUUCCAUCCUCUACGUCACUCCUUGUGGAGCUGAUCUCGGAAAACUCGUGAUUUCGAAUGCUGAUGCACGUCACUGCAUUAAAUUGGAAAAGAAGGUGCCUCUGGAGUUGGUGGAUAGUGAUCCAAUGGUGACGAUAGGGGCAUCACAUGGCUGGGUAGCUACUUUGAAAGACGACGGAAUCGUGCGUCUCCAAGACGAUCUAAACCCAUAUGCAUCGGAUACAGAUCCGAAACGCAUCUCGCUGCCUCCUCUUGUGACUCUGCCUGGUUGCCAAACACAAGUUGUGACCAACGUGGCCAUGUCCUCGUCUUCCCCGGAGGAUGAGGACUGUGUUGUGGCUGUCAAGUUCUUGGGGUCUCAACUCAGCUUUUGCAGACCCGCUCAAGCUAACUCCGAGUGGCUCAACUUCAGGAUCGCUAGCCCCUGCUUCUACUCCUCCCCUGUCAUGUUUUCCAAGAAACAUGACAUGUUUCGCUUUCCCGGAUCUGGAGGCCACCUCAUUGGAUCAUGGGAUCCUCGGGCACACAAGCACAAACCCAAGUUCCAGAGGUUGCGAUUCCAGAACCUUCCCGAGCUGACCAAGACCAAACGGGAGCUUUUGCAAUCGUGUUGCACGAGUGAACACUUGGUGGAGUCACGAUCCACCGAUGAAACGUUCUUGG